rnacentral:lncRNA from 1 species
CGAGUUCACCGGACUCCAAAAGCAGCCGCCGUGAUGCUCCGCCAUCAUUCCAGCCAUGUCAUACUCAUACCCAAACCCUCCUCCACCGCCGCAGCCGCCGACUGCAUCAGCGGCCGGGGUGAGUAACUGGAGGAUCUCGUUGAGGGAAUCGAGGCGGUGGCCGAGCUCGCCUACCUGAGCCCUGAGUACCGAAUUGUCUGCGUCGAGGGACAGGAAAUGCUGGGUGGUGACGCUGAUGCUGGCGACGAUCUGGCCGUUCUCUUUCCUGAGCUGAUCAACCUGGGCCGUCAGAUCGUCGAGGUGUUUCUGCUUUCUCAUCCUCGACCUCCUCGCCGACUCCCUGUUCGACACCAUCCUCUUCCUCUUCCUCUCGUCCAUCAAAGCCUGGAGGUCCGAGUCCGACCCGGCUGAGUUGUUGCUCACCGGCGACGACGUCGCCGACGAUGUGCCGCUCGAAGACGUCAUUACAGAUUUUUUUUCGAAACCGAACAAAUUUAAAAAAGAGAAGCUAAUUAAUUAAAUAAAAAGUUGAUUACUUUAUAAGGGGAUGGCAAAAGGGAAAUUAAAGGUCGUUAUGAAACAUAGUAGAGGAAGUAAAGGAAGACGACUGAGAAAGAUUGAACGAGAUGAGUCCUUCGCCGGAAAGUGGAAUUUAUCAUACAACGGAGAAGGAACAGUUCACUAAGAAUUGAAGACAUGAAUCUCUAGACUAUGCAUCAAGCUUAGCCGUCCUUUUCAACUCCUUUUUUUUUUCUCACAAUGAAACCCACAGUCAAGAUUCCGUCGAUCGGAGAAAUCGAAACGGAGGAUCUGAAAAACAGAGCAAGGGGAAAGUGAACCCAAAUCGUAGAAAUUGGCUUAAGAAAUGAAGAGGGUUGGUGAUUUAAGAAACGGAGAUGGGAGAAAUCGAAACAGAGAGGGGUGAAAACAGAGGGAAGGGAAGGGGGAGGGGAAGAAGAGGGGGAGAAAUGAAGAGGGGUUGAGGGGUGAAUUUAUAGAAGGGGGAGAUUGCUGGACUGGUUUAAAGAAUUAUUAUGAAGGGAGGAGGAAAAAAUCUGGAAAAGGAAUUGAGAAAGUAAAGUGGUGGGGAGAGAGAAAGGUGAUGGAGACAUGUGGGGUGGUGAAGAAGGAGAGAGAAGAAGAGUCCAGAGAAUACAGCUGGGAACCAACAGUAGAGGGAGGAGGAGGAGGAGGAGGAGGAGGAAGAAGGAAUUGUUUUUUUUUUUUGCAUUGCAUCGCAUCAUUUUGUUUGAUUGUUUUUGUUGUUGUUGGUGGUGGUGGUGGUGGGGGAAGGGUCUUUUGAUGUUGGUGUUGUUGUGUUGUGUGAUGAUUUGCUCACUCAAAAUCUGGUGUUGGUUGUAUUUGGAUGCAAUCAUGGUGGUAUUAUAUGGCUUUUGUUGUUCAUGAUCAUGGGUGAAAGGUACAAGUUGGGGGAUUCUGUUUGUGGUUGAUGGGUUCUUUCAAGAAGGAUGAUCGAGUAGUGUGACUCAUAUGUGUUGUUUUUCGUGUAGUGUAUUAAUAGUUGCUUGUUAAGUUCUAAACUAGCUUUUAUAAUUAGUUGAGCAUAGCAUUGAAACUGAUGGAUAAUUUCAAUAAAGACGAUAGAGUAGUAUGAAUCCUAUGUAUUGUGUUCCGUUCUGAUGUCUCGGUAGUAGUUUGUUAGGUUGUUACUGGUUUUCUAAACUACGUUUGUAAUUCAUCGUCUUGGUCGAGCAUCAUUGCUGUAAUUCGAUUCCUAACAUUGUUAUACAUGGCAUAAUAACCGGCUAAUUCUAGAAGAGAAUCUACAAUUUAACAGCAAGUUGUAUAUUUAUUUACCACAUAUAAUAAAUCUACAAAAGGUACAUAAUCUUGUUUGUUAAUGAAAAAAAUAAAAUCACACAUCGCACUCCUGAAUAUUUUAUAAAUUUUGCACAUCCCCAAAUGUUGCCUAAAAGUUACCAAUGGAAUCAGAAAUUAAUGAACCGAAACAAAUAAAAAUAAUAAUUACAACAGCCAGAAAUGGAGACCCAAUUUGAGCCUGUUGGGCCACCGUGGUCAUCAGUUUAUUGGUUUAUAACUAUCUAGUCAUCAACAUUUAAAAAGUAAUAUACAUACCGCUAACCUAUUUCAAUUAUAAUACGUAAUUAAUCUCGUUAAUGCUCCAUCCGGAAAUUUUGCUAAUCCGACUGACCACCAUGCACUUCACUCUUUGCUAUGCAAACUGUUGUAUCUUUUAGAUCCAAUCUAUUCAAUUUGUUUGAGUUGGAUGAUUUUCAGUGAAUUGAGUUAAAUAUUUAAAUUAGAUUUUAAGUAUGUUCAUAUGUGUUAAGUUAGAUUGUUUGAAUGGAUCGAAUCUAUGAUGAAAUGCGUGAUAUGGUCGUUUUUUAAAUUAUAAAUUAGUGUGGUGAUUUGUCAAUUAAAAACAAUCGGUUAAUUAUAAUAGGUUUCAAUUGUUUGGUGACUACAAUGCAUAUUAUGAAUUUAUGAUUUUCUUGGGGAAAAAAGGUCCACCGACGAUGUACUGACAACACUGAGUUGCUUAGAAUCUUGGAAAUCUAGGGAUGUAGGUCUGUCAUUAUUUUAAUUUUCAUUCAAAUUUAUUUAUUUAUUUUUGGUAUAUAAGCUUCGAGCUGUUGAUGAAACGAAUCGAGCUGAGCAUUUUCCAAUUCGUUCGUUUGAAAUAGCAGUACGGGUUCGGCUAAUUCGUUUGAAAUAGCAGUUCGGGUUCGGCUAAUUUAUUAUCAAGCCGGUUUGCGAGCUAACUCAUUAAAAUCAAAUUGAAUUUCGAUCAAUUUUUUUUCAAAUCGAACGUCAAAUUGCUCGCGAACGACUUGAUUGGUCAACAACUCUAUUAAUGACCUCAUGGAAGUUCAAUGUUUUUCUUAUUACAAAAGGGUCCUCUUUAUUCUUCAUUUGUCUAUGAGAAGUCCCAUUGAUUAGUCCAUGGCCCAUGUUUUGGUACCUUUGGGCGGUUUGGGGGUCACCCCCCACUAUUUGAUGUCUUGUUUGUUAGUCGUACAACCUAACCAUUAUAGUGGUCUACAUUCGAAACUUGAAAUCGAUAGGAUAUUGCUAAUUGUAUAUAUUGUCAUAUUGAUAUGAGUUAUUAGAUCGAAUCAUACCAUCCACAAUUUUUUUACUUACCACUAACCACAAUUUCUAUAAAAUGAGUGUUGUAAACCGAACCUGACUCAAACCUGAUUUAGUCCUUCAAAUAAGUUUUUUCAGUGCCAUAUCUUAUAGAUUUCUCCUACCUUCAAAAUUUAAACUUCAGACUAGAUAAUUUUGACAAAUUAAACAAAACUAAUCAUUAAUAAAAAAAAUUUAGACCAUUUGGUUUAAUUUCAUCACAUAAUUAUUUUCGAAAAAAAUAAUGUUACAACAUCCGGACCAUGAUUAUCAUAUACCAAACCGAAAUUUGUUUCAUCAACGAUAAUAUUACAAAAUCCUAUCCAUGAUAAUGUUUUUCUNNNNNNNNNNNNNNNNNNNNNNNNNNNNNNNNNNNNNNNNNNNNNNNUAAAAUAAUAUUUAAUUUCCUGCACAUCGGGUUUGUUUAAACAAUAAUAGUAUCUUAUACUGAUUCGAAAUUCAUCACCGGUAAAUCCAAUUUAUCAAUUUAACAUGUUUCAUGUACAUAGGAUUUGCAUUCAAAGCAUCUAGCUAUUCAAUUGCCAACAUUUUCCACAAAAAUGUGCGGGGUCCUAUUUCUAAUCCACGAUCCCUUCAUCCCUUGCCCCUUGCCUUUAAGAUUUGAUUCCAAGGCUAAUUAACAGUUGGGUUUAUAAAGAAACAAAAUGAAAGGUGGAUACUUUCUUUUAUUAUUUAAUUAGUGAUCUAUGAUUUUUAAAAAAGGUUAAUUAGUGANNNNNNNNNNNNNNNNNNNNNNNNNNNNNNNNNNNNNNNNNNNNNNNNNNNNNCCAUAAAAUGGACAAAAGCCAUCAUUAGGGAGGCACUUAACAUUGAUAUUUGCAAGACCAUGGUAAUCAAGAGUUCAAUGAAUUAUGGUGCACCUUUAGGCAUGGACCAUCCACAAUAUGGCACUUGUCUUUAUGGAAUCAUGGGAUUUUGUUUUUGUUACAAAAUAAUUAAUAUUUUUUAUUAAAAUGACAAAAAGAUGAAGUAACGAAUCACAAACACAAUACCACAUAUUUUACGUAAUUAUUAAUGAUUAUAAGUUGAUAUUCGAUUGAACCAAAUACAUAAAUAUUGUCUAGCCGUCUUCCAUUACUAUUUAGUAUUUACUAGUAAUUGUAUUUUUCCUUAAACUAUUUUACUAUAUACAAGAUUUAUGACAUUCUCAAGGAAGAUAAUGAGAGAAUUUAUUUGCACUUAUCUUUGUUUUAUUAUAUUUUACAGAAUAAAAUAUCCAUGGAAAAUAAUAAUAGUCGAGCUGGACUUUAAAUUUGAAAUUUUGUCUACNNNNNNNNNNNNNNNNNNNNNNNNNNNNNNNNNNNNNNNNNNNNUCGAAAUGGUCAGAAAUCCUCGAUAAAAUUACAAAUAUGAGCCGAGUUUAAAAAUACUUUGGCGCAAGAUUUGAGAACUCGUCAUAUAUAUAAAUUUCAAUCUUAUUUGNNNNNNNNNNNNNNNNNNNNNNNNNNNNNNNNNNNNNNNNNNNNNNNNNNNNNNNNNNNNNNUUGAUGGAUUUCGAGUUUCAUCAGAACUUUGCUUGAUUAUAAGUAAGGAUACGCUAUAUUCUACCUUGGAAAUUUUUAUAAUAAAUUUACCAUAGUGGUUUCUUCAUUUUCGUUAUAAUAAAAAUAUAAUCAAGCAUUUUUUUAUAUAUGAAAGUAGUCGACAUCUUAAUUUGAAAAGCACGUGUAUGAACGAUGUAAACACCUUAUCUAGCUAGUCAUUUUUGCGACUUUAAUGAAAAAGAUAUUGCAUUGUCGUACAUCAUCGACUACUAACAUAAUUUUCGAAAACUCACCCUCAUAUUGUACAUCGAAUGAUCUUAAGUAUACAUUUGAGAUUCUGUAAUAAGGGAGACCGAACUUGACAAACACCUCCAUAGUUAAAAAAAUUCAAAGAGAACUUUGACUCCAUUUUGGCUACUCCUUUUCUGGUGCAUCCAACUUUUAAUGAUGGCUAAUAGGGUACGAUGAAUUCCAAAAAAAUGUGCUUAAAUCCCAUUUGUUUGAACCCAUUUUGCCUUCACGGCGAAGUAAUUAAAGUGCAUGAUAACAUGGUGGGCACACUAUACACAAGAUUGAGAGGAAAGGAAAAUAUUAAAGGAUGGUAUCGAAAUUCGUUAGCUAAUCGUUUCUUUGACCUAUUGGUUAGGUUAAUAUCAGCCGUUAGUCAAAACACAAUUAUCGGAUCUACUCGACUCCCUUGUAUUUUUAUAGAUUUUUCCAAUUUUUUUUUUUAAAUUGAAUCGAUCAGUUAAUCAAUUUAUAUUCUCGUCAGUUGGAUGGUCGAAGGUUAACAAAUUAUCCAAAUUUAGUUAUUAUCAACCUACCUACCGACUCCAUGAAUCUUUUGUACUUAUUUUCUUUAUUCGUUCUUCUAAAUUUGUAGGGACACAAGAGAUUUGAAUCGACAUUUUUACCACUCCUUUUUAUUUCUGAGUAACUUUUGAUUGUGCAAUUGUUGCCGAUGUUAUGAAAAAAAAUGUACUUUUUUCACAAAGGAUUUUGCUUUAGUGGUGGGUGUGGGGUUUGGAGGCAAAUGUGUGGUUGGGAUUUCUCAUUAUUUUACAGUUACCAUUGAUGUUAAAGUCAAUAAUUUGGUAAAAACAAAGCCCUCUCGUAUCACCUCAAUUUGAUUACACCAAAGCCACCACUUGUAUCCAUAUCUUGAAUUGAGAGUGAUUAGUCGAUGAUAAAGCUGGUCGAACGAAAUUGUGUUGGUUUAAUCAUGUUGUAUAUGAAUUGAUUGAUGGAGAUAUUAUUAUUUGACGCAACAAAUCUGAGCAACAGAAUACGCGUUGUGUUGUUGGUGGGUUGUUGUGGCUGAGAUCCUUACUUUUUGGUGGCGUGCCUGUGUUUGCAUGUGCAAGUGAUCCGAUGUGUCGCCAACGAAGCCACCCAUAAACUGACGAGAUAAGUUGUGUGGAGGCGAACCUCGCGAUUUGAAUUGAUAGUUGUUUUUGGUCAUAGGUAGCUCAAGGAGAGGAGGAACGAGGUGAAGAUCUUUGUAGUUCGUUAGUCUGCAUUUUCUUUCCUUAACACUUUGAUUUCUGCAUUGAUUGAUUCGAUGUGUAUCGCCCUCUUUUCAGGACUUGAGAGAAAGAAUAGAUGUUGUGUCUGAGCCCGUUGUUGAAUCGGGUAAGCUAAUAAUGUUUGUGCAGUUCUUUUCUUCUUCAUGUCUUAUUGGUUUUAUUCUCAGAAGAACAUCUGAACUGAUUCUUGUGAUAUAAAAAAGUAGGCACAGAGGAGAAUCCUCAGAAUGAUAACGUCUUCCUAGAUGAUGUUGAGUCUCUUGUUCCACCAGAGAGCAGUUUUGUCGCUCCUUCAGAAACCAGACAUGAAAGUGAGGGCACAAUGCCUGCAGCAGAAGAGGCAUAUGUUUAUGAUCUAUCGUCCUUGGGCUUCGACGAUUUUGUUCCUUCAGCUACUGCUGCCUCUGAGCUCCCAAUGAACUCAGAACAGACGGGUUAUGAGCAAACAUGUGUUUUGAACGAGGCAGGCAAAAAUUCAAGGGAGGAUGCUCCUGAAGUGGUGAAAAAGGUAAUGUCGUUUGAAAUGUAAGUAAGAUGCUAUACGACGCAUUUGUUACUAUGGUUGUAACCUGUUUCUCUCUCUCUCUCUCUUAUCAGAAUCGAGACAACAAUGAAAAGACUUCUUCAUUAGGCAGUGACGGGAGUGGCGGCAAGCUCUCAAUGCAGUUGAGGAAGCGAUCAGGUGGUCGUCAAGUUCUUAACGAGUCUGAGCCUGUGAGUGGUCAUGAUGAUAGCAGCUUCCUUGUUGAGUACCUGAAGGCCUCGGUACGAAUGGAGAUGAGGAUUAUGAAUAUCGGAUCGAGGAUUCUGAGGAUGAUGGAAAUGUUGAUGCUGGCGGGGAAAGAACUUCCAAGAAAAAGAAAGCUGCUAAAAGGUCAAAGAAAUCAGCUUCGGGUGAAGAGAAGCCUGGUCGAAAGCGCAAGAAAGCCAGUGACACAUCAGAACAGUUGGAGCAGAAGCAGCCAAAGAAGAAACUUUCCCAUUCAACUCGCCGAAGGAAAAGAUAUCGCAAGUUCGAUACUCUCUAUUAAAUAUGUGUCACUGUUUCGAUUCUUGACAAUGAUUUGAUCUUUUUAUACAGGAAAUGACGAGUUGCUUAAGGUGCCCGAAGAUGAAAUAGAAUUCCGGAGCUUGACCAUGCGGGAUAUAAUUGUUCUUGCUGAACACAAAGAACGGUUAGCUGUGAGUUUAUCGGUUGCACUAAAUCAUUGCUUAAGUUACUGCUACCAGGAUUGAUCUCGUUAAUGCUAAUUGUUUGCAAAACGUCUUUUGCAGGCUAAAGAUGCCAAAGCUUCUUUGCAAAUUCCUUCGACUGAUGAAAAGUAAGAAGUCAUUUGUGAUUAGUGGAAGGCUUUCUCUGAACCGUUUAUCUUGUUAAAUUAAUCGUGCUCACCUCAGAACCAUUUGUCUCAUCUUGUUUAAAUGUAUUACCCUGUGCAGCACCGAGGAAGCCAACGAUGAAGAGGAUAACUCUGAGUCCGAGGAACCUGUAGACGUAUACGAAACCCCUUUAUUCAACAGCCAUUCUUUCAUGAAUAGGACGCCCACCAUGAGAUGGUCAAAACCGGAUACUGAUUUAUUUUAUGAGGUAUAAACAUCUCUCUACAAUAAAUCGGUCGCAGAAAUUAUCUUCUGCUUUCUUAAUGCUUUCGAAGCUUCAAUAUUGCUGAUUGGUGGAAUCAAACCCUUGUAUGCGUGAUACAUUGAACUUAAUUAUGGUACAUUAUGCUUGUUCUGGGCUUUCAGGGAAUUCGACAGUUCGGAUCCGCCGACAAAUCAAGAAUAAAUUCAAAACUGAAGAGCGCCGACAUCCAUUCUUACUUUCUGACGCUCUGCAAAACCCCAACGGUGGUAAUGUUCUUUACCAUCACUGUGAAAGCCUUUUCCACGUCAAAUUGCUAGUUGAAUAAUAUAGCAGCAUCCUUGUCUUUUGCAGAUACUACGUAUUUUGAUAAGGUGUAUAAUAAGCUGGCGCAAGCUGCAGCUGAUGAAGGAAGAGAGCCUCUCGAUCUUACCGGAGAAAAAGAAGCAGAUUUGAAUCUGGAAACUAAUGUAUGCUUGCAGCCCGCUUCGAUUCCAAUCAGAAACUAAUUUGCUUCCUUUAUUCUAAUCCAUGUGUAAACGCCUGUAUGGUUGCAGGAGGAACCAGGAAAAAACUCGGAGCAGGACGAGCAGGCAACGGGUCAGGAUCCUGGAGAUAACCCUGAUGAAGCCCAUAGUAAUGAGAAGAUCGAGGACGAGGACGAGGAUGAUUUAUUCAGCUCGUAUAAAUGUGAAUUCUGAAGCAACAAGCUAAACAUAUUGUAGCUGUAUUAUUAUCGAGUCCAACGAUGAAACUAGAUAGCUUGAAACAGUGGUUAGUGAAUGAAAUAGAUAUUAGGUUCCUUCUCUGAUUACUUGCCUCUAUUUGUGCUUUAACACCCUACUUUUAUUUCAGGGUUAACAAAUGGUCCUUCGGGAAAGAUCAACAAUGAUUAUCGAAGAACGAGAGAACGAGAGAACGAGUUUGAAUGGAGCGAUCAUCGAAUUAGAUUUGAGUAUUCAACCUUGGUGUAAAACAUCCAGCUAACAAUCUCAUGUAUCACCAGAUUAGAAGGGGCUAUUAUUGUUCUAUUUGCAUCUCGAAAUCUGGAAGAAAAACGUACAUUUCAAGAAUCUACAAAAACAUUUUGAAUGGUAGUCCUUCCGUUGCUACCUCGAUAGACCGUAAAGAUGCAAAAAUUUGAGCACGAAAACGAAGACCGAAUGGGGGCAUCUUCAAUAUCAACCAUUAAUUGAUGGGUUUACUUGCCUGUCAAGUAACAAACUAGCAACCUUACACAAUCUUGUACAAUGCAGUCUUUCCAUUGCAAAACAUUCAAAACUCUUGUCCAGUUUUCCGGAACAACUCUGGGUCACGUGAUUUUCUGGAGAACGAUGCACCAAUUCGAUUUGUCGAAGAACUGAUCGACUAUGACUGCAUUCUUGAUUCCAGAUGUCAACCUGAAACAACAUAAGGUGAGAACAAAACCUUAUAGCUGAAACGAAUGCAGAAGGCAAAAGCGGUUGAUGAAACCCGACUUGUUACCUUUCGAGCUCUCCUUCGCUAAAGACGUGAUAGUACCGGUUGUAGAUGACUGCACCCUUCUUGUCAUCUUUCCUCGCCAAGCCGGAGGCCACAGCAGAGGCAGAAGCGCCCCCAACUUCAGCUCGAUGAUACGGCAGAUGCCAAGGCACGAAAUACUCGUGCUGACUUCCAUCCUCUCUCGAAACCACUGCAUCACCAGAUUCCGGGAUGCUUUUCAAUGCAACAGACGAAGGGGGACUCCGCCUCUCAUCGUGCAGUAUUUCCUUCCCUUCUGCGGAUUCUGGGAUGCUUUUCAAAGUCACGGACGAAGGGCUCCGGACACGAGGACUCCCCGGUCCAAUCCAUUCCUCGACAUACUUAUCAUUAAGAGGCGUCCACUUCGUAAGCAGCGACCGAUCCUCUUGCUCGGCAGCCCAGACAGUUAUCAACACAAGUCCACCCUUCUUCACAACCCUAACCAACUCCUCCACCGCCUUCUUCCUCCUGACCUCGGUGCUCAAAUGAUGCAGCACCGCAAUCGAAAUCGCAGCAUCGCCAAACCCGUCUCGGUAAGGAAGAUUCACAGCAUCUGCAACCAGAACCUCGCUCCCUCGAUCCGCACAAAUCUUGAUCAGCGGGCUGCUGAUAUCGCACCCGAUGAAAAAGCAAUCCGGAUUCAGCCCUAGAUACUUCCCGUUCCCACAUCCUGCAUCGAGCACGAGCGAUCCUACUGGCAAAUUGUUUAGGAAAGACGCUACCUUUGGCCAUUUAGCGAACCUCGUGGAGCUGAAAUGAGGCGCUAUCGCGUCGUAAACUCGAUGCACAUACUUCUUUUCAAUCUCCGGGGUCGAGCCGAUACAUGAAGCUGCCUGGUGAUCUUCAGCAUUGGAGCAGAAGCUGGCAGCAGAGCCAGUCACCUUGAUUUCCUUCAUCGGUUUUGAGAUCUGAGCAGCUAGUAAACCGUAUGACGAGCUACUUGCCCUAGUGAAUCCUAAUCGCAUCAGCUACCCCCGCCUGAAAUUGUACUCUCCGAUGAAAUGAAAACGAAUAGACCAGCUUUUUUCAGCUUUCUAAACUUAGAAUCGUACGGUUGGAAUCUGAAUACUGCUGAAAUCGAUAACAUGAAGAAAGGAAACUGAAUAGCUUACCGGCUCUGGCAGUUCGGAUCUGCAGCGAUGACGACUGAAUCCCUUAAUCCCUUUCUCCCCUAAUCAGCGGCGAUCUGGGAGGGAGUGGGGUGGGGCGAAAAGGUAGAAUGGAUUGAAAUUAGGGUUUUUGUAAAAUUAAAAAAUUGAUGAUUGGGGGAUAUCUCGGGAACUGGGUGGUAUUAUUAUUGUACAGCUACUGAGCUUAGCCAAUUUUUAAUUAUUAUUUUAUUCGCGGGUGCUAUACGAUCUCUGUAUCCAUACCGUAUACAUACGAGUAUACUUGUGUGAAAUUUGCCAACGUAAUUUGUUUCUCCUUCACACACUCUAUUUUUAUUAAUAUAGUUUGUUUUACUACAUAGUUCCUGAACUUCUCAAAUUUGUCUUUCAUUAUCCAAAUUAUUACGACGUUUUCACUGCCAACUCAUCAUCUCCACAAUUCCCACAAUAUUGCCAUAAUACAUCUUAGUCGAUUACUAAAGUGGCAAUCGAUGUAGAGACAUCAACAAACAAAAGAUAAAUUAGCGACGAAAUGACAUCAUAAUUUAACAAUCUAAUAAAAAAAAUCUACAAACAAAUUAGGCGAUUGAUUUAUUCCGACCUCCGAACAAUAUGUCUUUAUGCCAUUACUUACCAACUAGAUAAGUAAAUGGACCAAAAGCCAAAAAAGAUGAUUGAUUUACAUUCACACUGAAUAAAUAAAUAAAAACCCUAGCUAGGUAGCAUUUGAUUGAUAAUAAAGCUUAAUGAGUUCACUUUUGUUAUGUGGUCAAAUUAAGGGGGACAAUUUGAAUAUCAAAGAUGGCCAGCGAACUAGUAGUCGGUGGAGUGGAAAUAAUGUUAAUUAGUUAAAUUAGAAGCUUCUUUUAAGCAAGUGGCAAAGAUGGAUUCCUCAAUAGGGCACAAAAUUGUUUUUAAUUUUUAUGAGGAUAUAGUAAUUAUUGAUUUAUAGAUAGAAGAUAUAGAAAAGUUAGAUAUGUAUANNNNNNNNNNNNNNNNNNNNNNNNNNNNNNNNNNNNNNNNNNNNNNNNNNNNNNNNNNNNNNNNNNNNNNNNNNNNNNNNNNNNNNNNNNNNNNNNNNNNNNNNNNGUAUGAUCUCAUUUGUGUUGAACGAAUAUUGGCCUGAUUUGACUUGAGUGAAAACUAUAAAUUUAUUAGUCCUUACAACUUGUAAGAUACACGACAAAUAACUUUCUCAAAACGAGUAAUCUUUCAGAUGUUGAUAUGUACAUCACUCAGCAAACAAAUCUAAUUCAAUAUUCAGUACCCACAUUUAACUCUUGACAUAUUAAUCCACCCGAACUUCCAAGAAGAAGAGACAAAACAAUGAAAGAAUUGUUCACAUUUGAAGCUUUUAAUUAUUGAAUUAGAUUUCUUUAGUUUUCUCUAAUAGCAUUCCUUCUAUUUGUUUUCAUUUGUAAGUUUAAAUUAGAAGAAAACAAGUUGUUUAAUUAUUUAAACAAAACAAAAUCUCUUAUUGUUUGGUUGAAAUAGAACAUAAAAGUUUCCACAUGUACAAUCAAUUAAUUAGCUGUAAUUUUGGUGUUAGUGACAGCAAAUUAAUAAACAAUCACUAAGUACCCAACAAUUACACGAACCAAAAUAGGAAAAUGAAAUUCUUCCCAAGUGGCACCACGUCAGCAUUGUACUGAUUUUUUUUUCUAACUUUCUUCUUUGGUGAAGUUAGAACAAAACACAAUUAUCUGUUUGUGAGAGAUUCAUGAUAUCAAAAUACAUAUAUGAAAAUUACAAUGUUGAAUUUAGCGAAAUUGUUUGAAUUUAUUUUUGGCGAUGGGAGUCAAAAUCGUACAAAAUGUUUUUGAAUGUAAUUCGAAAUCUAGUUUUUUUUUAAGGAUUUUAAUUUCAAAAUCAACAUAUAAAAACUAAAAAGACACUAGAACAUAAUAGACUUUCAAACAAGGUAGUGUACACAAUUUUAUAAGAAAGUAAAAGAUUGAAAAUGGUAAAAAUAUUAACCCUAACUCAUCCUUGUGGAUCAAAUUAUCAACGAUACCUUACAACCCAUUAAACAUGUGAUUUUAUAUAUAUGAUAUAACCCAUUUAACCCAAAUAAAACACUCUCAACCCAUUAAAUAUAUAACUUUACGUUACCAACUUAGAACCCGAUCAACCCGACACUCGAAAAUAAUGAACCAGCCAGCCAUACAAUAGUCAACAUUAGCCAGCAGACAUAUCUGUUAAUUUAUUAUUAUUAUUUUAACUACGACCAAAAUUUACCUCGCCACGUGGCACUCUGGUGAAUAAAAAACGUAUGUCGGUGGACCCUACCCGCCACCAAAUUAGGUCUCCUACUAUUAAACCAAAUCUUCCCAACGCUCUCUGUAUUUCCUUCUUCUGCCGUAAUUUAAUUUAUUCAAUCGGCCAGAAGAGAAAUUUGAUGUUUCAGUUCCUCUAAUUUUUAAUUUAUUCCUCCCGAAGAUCAUAAUCUCCAUUUUGUAUCUGUAAAUUUCUGAUUUCCUAUCCUCUUUACCUAAAUUUACGCUGCAAUUUUCGUCUUACCAGAUGCGAUUGUUCUUGAUCGUUCGAUCUUCCUCGUGAUCGGCGCUCCCACCCACACUGAGUUUCUCCUUAUGCAAUCAAUCAUAACCCCAAAUUUCAGAUUCUGAUAAAGUGGUCAAAUUUGAUUUCUCUCUGUUUGGCUGGCUAAGCAUUUUAUUUUUCGAGCUCUGAAAGUGGGGGAGUUGGCGAAGGACACUGUCUCCCACUCGAAUUGUAAAGUUUUCCACUGCUAGGGUUCGUAAGCUUACUGCAUUUGGUCGUUUGAUCUGCUCUCUCGAUCGGUAAUUUUGGUGGUGCGGAGGAAAAACCCCUUUUUCAGACUGUGUGAGUCGUUGAUUUUCGGCGAAAGGAAGGAGCUUUGAAAUGUCUGGUCCGCUCGAUCGGUUCGCUAGGCCUUGUGAGUGCAUUUUUUAAUUGUGAUUUCUGACUUUAUUUAACUUUUUUUUUUCUUGGUUGAGCUAGGGUUUUGAGCUGUUUGUUACAGUGAGUUCAGUUUUUUAGAUCGGAUUUUAGUGCUUUAUAGCAUAAUUAUGAGAAUGCAGGUUCUCUGAAGUGAUUUCUGUUGGAAGAGAAGUGGUAAUUUGUUACUGAAUGUGAUUACUGAUGAUGAAUUGUUGUUAUGUCGCGUAGGUUUUGAGGGUUCAUCAGGGGGAGAUGAAAGGAGGGAGGAGAGGAGGGAGAGGAGAUCUGAUUUUGAGAACUCCGAGGACGAGAGAAGGACGAGGAUUGGGUCGCUGAAGAAGAAGGCAAUUAAUGCUUCUACCAAGUUCAAGCAUUCUCUGAAGAAGAAGAGCAGCACCAGGCGAAAGAGUGAUGGCCGGGUUAGCUCAGUUUCCAUCGAAGACAUACGGGACCUCGAGGAACUGCAGGCUGUCGAUGCAUUUCGCCAGUCGUUGAUCAUGGACGAGUUACUUCCUGAAAGACACGAUGACUACUACAUGAUGUUGAGGUGAACCCCCCUUGAUUAUGUGUUCAGGAUAGAAUGUGAGCUGUUCCUGAACUUGCUAUGAUUAAUUAGGCAUGUUUAUAGUAUACAUAUCGUCCUGUUUUGGGCAUAAUGAUCAAGUCCACUUUCAUUAAUGUAAUCUUCGGUUGCUUGUUUGUGUUACUCUUGCUAACCCUUUUAUGUGUCUCAGGUUCUUGAAAGCUAGGAAAUUCGACCUUGAGAAAGCAAAGCAUAUGUGGGCUGAUAUGCUUCAAUGGAGGAAGGAAUUUGGUACUGAUACUAUCAUGGAGGUAAUUCCGACUUUCAAUGAAUCUGGAGUUGAUAUUAUCAGCUUCCCCUUGUUUAGAACUUCACUUAGUUUCUUUUCUUGUAUCAGGAGUUUGAGUUUCAAGAAUUAGAGGAAGUUUUGAAGUAUUACCCACAUUUCUAUCAUGGCGUGGACAAAGAAGGGAGACCUAUUUACAUUGAAAGAUUGGGGAAAGUUGAUCCUCACAAACUUAUGCAAGUAACAGAUCUCGACCGCUAUGUGAAAUACCAUGUCCGUGAGUUUGAGAAAAGCUUUUUGGUCAAGUUUCCAGCUUGUAGCAUUGCUGCAAGGAAGCAUAUUGACUCUAGCACAACAAUUCUAGAUGUUCAAGGAGUGGUAUGUUGGUUACUUAUUACAAUUUGUUACGCUUAUUUCCAUGAUGUAUUAAAGAACAAUCUCUUCGUUUUGUAUCCCUAGAAAAAAGAAUUCACCUUUUUCAUUUUACUCGCUUACAUUUAGGGAUUAAAAAACUUCACUAAAUCUGCUCGGGAACUUGUCAUGCGGCUGCAGAAGAUUGAUGGUGACAACUACCCCGAGGUAAGAUAAUUUCGCUUGUAUAGCUCUAAACGGUUAUUACUUAUAUAGUUAUAUUUUUAUCCUUUUGUAGAGAAUGCUGACUUGUUUAUACAAUGUGACAUUUGUGUCAAUACUGCAGACUCUACACGAAAUGUACAUUAUCAAUGCUGGGCCUGGAUUUAGGCUUUUGUGGGGUACCAUCAAGACAUUUUUGGAUCCAAGAACCAGCUCCAAGAUUCAUGUAUGAUUGUAAUUAUAAUUGUGUUAUAUUUACUGUAACUAUCCUGCCGAACCAUCCAAUGAACAAAAUUUGUUGUGUGAAUAUGUAGGUGCUUGGAAACAAGUAUCAGAGUAAAUUGCUCGAGGUAAUCGAUGCUAGGUAAGCAUGUUGCACUGGUUUAUAGAAGUGCCGAAUGCUAUUUUACCGGGAUGUUAUGCUAAUUUCUAACUAGUUGCUAACAAUGUGCAGUGAAUUACCCGAAUUCAUGGGUGGUGUCUGUAAGUGUGCUGAUCAGGGAGGUUGUCUUCGCUCUGACAAAGGACCAUGGAGAAAUCCAGAUCUAUUGAAGGUAUGCGGUUUCCAUAAUUUUUUUCCAUGAAAUUUUGUUCUUUUCGGGAAGUAACAAAUCUUACGUUUCUGCAGAUUGUUCUAAGUGGAGGAGCUCGUCGCUCAAGGCAGGUUGUAAAGAUCUUAAACAACGAGGGUAAGGUCAUUACCUAUGCAAAGCCUCCUUGUUACCCGAUGGUAAGACAUCGAUAAUGCUCCCUCGUUUUUGAAGGAUUAUGUGAAGGAGCAGCUUUGCUAAAUUGCCUUGGAAUUCUUGAGACAGGUCAGAAGUGAUUCCUCUGCUGCUGAAUCUGGAUCAGAAGCUGAAGAGAUUUCUUCCCCCAAGGCACUAAGGUCUUACUCGCAUCUGCGCCUGACUCCUGUUCGUGAAGAAGUAAGUUUUGGCUGUUCAUGCAAAAUGGUUUUAGUUUUUGGACUCAAAUUUUCGGUCUUCUGAUAUCCAGUUUGUUCAUUUGGAAUCUUGAAUGUGAAGUCUAAGAUUGUUGGGAAGGUGAAUCACCCUAGCACCUUUUCUGGGUAUGAUGAAUACGUUCCGAUGGUCGAUAAAGCAGUUGACUCUACCUGGAAUGAGCAAGCAGCCAUUCAGAAGCUUGCAAUGUCUAAAGGUUAGAACUUUAGUCGUUCAUUCAUGUUUCCUGCUCUAUUGAUUAUGUUAAAUGAAUAAAACUGAUAUCAGCUUCUACCACAGCAUCUGCAACUGUUCCGGAGACUCCAAAGACGUCAGCUGCUAUCCACGUUAGGCUUUAUUUGGCAGUUCUGGCUUUCUUCAUGACGAUUCUUACUUUCAUCCGUGUGUUGCCAUCGCGGUUGAGCAAAGAGGGUACUUCAGCCGGAUUAACCUUAAACACUCCAGAGAAAGAGCUGACACACCCACCUUCGCCAACUCCAGCUUACUCGGAGACCGACCUGCUCACUACUGUACUGAAAAGGCUGGGUGAACUUGAGGAGAAAGUUGACACGCUUCAAUCAAAGCCAUCGGAGAUGCCGUACGAGAAAGAGGAGUUGCUAAAUGCUGCUGUUUGCCGUGUUGAUGCCUUGGAAGCCGAACUCAUUGCAACUAAAAAGGUAACAUUGGUUUUGUCAAGCAUAGCUUCAUUCCGUUUUGUACUAGGUUUGUAACACAAUCUUAUGUUGUUGCAGGCCCUACACGAAGCACUUAUGAGACAGGAAGAACUGCUUGCUUACAUCGAUAGUCAAGAGGAAGCGAAAAACAGGGUAUAAUUUGUUGAAAAUAUGAAUCUUUUCGGCUUAACGACAUGCUAUGUGAGUACAAGUUGCUGAAAAUCCAACUGCUGGAAUGUUUUUUUGCAGAAGAAGGGUUUUUUCUGCUAUUAAAGACUUCUGCAGUUUGAGAGAGGGAUGAUGCAACCUGGGCGAGUUCUCGGAUGUGAGUGAUGCAUAUGAAAUAUAUUUCGGCUUCUAUUGUAUGUGGAUAAUGAGAUGUAACUACUCUUAUUUGAAACAACAUUGUGAGCAGACUUGCUCUUGUAAGACCUUGUGAAGACGUGUUCUUAACUACACACCUGCUAGACUUAUAAUCAUGAAUGCUGCUGCAGUUUGGUCUCUGUGAUGAUCUCUGCUAUCUUCUUACUUCAUUGUGGAUAUUAUAUAUUUACUUGUGGUAUUUCUGUGUUCUGAAUUUGUCUUCUGCGUCAAUUGUCUAUAGUUCGUAUCCCACCGCUGCCACUUAGUUAACACACUUAGGUUUGCAUAAUUCUCGAUUGAUUGUGGUUAGUAGGGUUAACUGCUGAUCUCGAAACCAGUCGAUUUCUCAGGGAAAGAAGCAUUAAUUUUUAUAUUGGUUUUUGCAUUAACCCCAACAUUACAUUCAGAUUACAAGAAAGUUUGUAACAGUCCAGAUUUUGCUCUGCUUUAUACACGGCUGAAAGCCUGAAGAGAGUAGUACUAUACAGAUAACUAAAUCAAGAAAUGCCAAGUUACAUCAGAUCCUCAAUUGGCCUUUGUCAAGUUGUCAUAAGAUGAACCAUUUCCUCCUUUAGAAUCUGAAGAACUGCAUUCCGAAACAGAGAAACCAGAAAAGUUAGCAGCUUUGAUAUAAACAGUUCCUGAGUUCAUGAUCCGGGCUGGGAAAGAAACAUUUUACCCUCUUCUUCUUCUUGUUCUUCUUGUCCAUGUAAGCCAGGAGUUCUUGCUGUUUCCCUACAGCUUCCACAAGUAACUGGAGCAAAAAAAACGUCGAAAAAAAAGAGGUUAAAGGUUCUUCCUUUAGACACUGCAUUCUGAGUUUGGUUGAUUAUUAGUACUUACAAUCUUUGCAGCAGAGAGCUCCUUCUCGAGGGCUUCAGCGCGGUCGAGUGCGUUCAUCAGCAUUGCCUCCUUCUCAGCCGGCAUCACUUCGGGUUUCGAGCAAAGGGCGUUCAGCUUCUCCUCGAUAUCUGCCAUCCUCAACAUCAUGUUCUUGUAAUCCGAGGAGGAGAUGGACGAUCCCUCCAUCCUUCCAGCUGAAGAAGGAUGGUCGUUGAGCGAUUCGGAGUAGUAAGUCUUGCUCCCGUAGAUUGCUGCCUCGGUCAGCUUUCGAGGCAUUGUCUUGGUCAUCUUGAUCAAGGUCACUACUCCCAUCACAACCGCCAUGAUCCCACCCAUCACCUGCUUCCCGUUUGCUGGCACAAGAGCAUCCUCUUGCAUACCUGUAACGAAAGCAAGUUUUCGACAGGUUUAGGGUUUUUCUUACCAUGUUCUUGUCAUGAACCGUUGCAUCCCAAUAACGAGUUUUUGAUAGAGGGUUCAUAUCGGUUUUAUAGUUCAUUAACAGUUUUGUACGCUUUGCCUUACCCUUUCCUGAAGAAGCUCUCCAGUCAGUGUUGAUGGUCUUCUCCACGACUUGGAUGGACUUCUCGCAGUUUUCAGUGGUGAGCCUGUUCACGGUUAUGAUCGGAAGAUGGUGAAUUACUUCUUCUUCAGGAACGGGAGAAGGUUUCAGGUCCUGAAGUACUUCGUCGUUCAAAACCUUGAUGGUUUCCUUGUCUUCAGGAAUUGGCUUCUCCUCAAUUCCUGACAGGAUUCUCCUGUGGCAUUUACCCUCACCAUUUUCAACCAUCUGCGACAAAAAGAUUGGAUUGAAAGAAGAUUAUCAUCAGAUCGAACGAGAUUGUUCUCGUAAAACCAGUCCUUGGUGCAUUAGGAUUACUCACCUUCAGGAUGUCAGGAUCAUUCCAUGGACCUUUGCUGGAGCGCAUGCAUCCACCCUUGUCAUCACAGUUGCAAGUCCCUCCGAAGAACGAUGGCAGCUCGCUGCAAAAACCGAUCCAAACCCAGAUUUCAGAGCCAAAAUAUCGGUUUGUAAGGGUUAAUUAGGAACAAAAGUCGGUACCUGGCAUCAAUUACUUCAAGCAACUUGCUUUGAUAUUUGGUGCCAAGAACCUGUAGAAAAGGUUGACUCUGGAUUAUAAAGAGCGACUUGGAAAGUAUCAGAAACAGAAUCAACAUUUAGUUCUAAAGCCAUGAAACUGACAUGGAUCUUGGAAGCAGUCUUAGGGUCCAGGAACUGCUUCACAGUGUUCCACAGUAACCUGAAUCCAGCCCCACCAUUGAUGAUGAACAUCCUGUUCAAUGUCUGCAAAUGCGGACGAAAAGAUCGAAACUUUACUCAAUUACUACAUGAAUUCCGUGAAUUAUUCACAUACCUCAGGAUAGUUAUCGCCAUCGAUCUUCUGGAUCCGGCUGAUAAGUUCCCUGGCAGUUUUGGUGAACUGCUUCAGACCCUGAAAACAGAUUUUAUGAUGAUGAGAAAUCGUCGAAACAACUGAAUUUUAGAACUCUAAACAUAUAGACAUUACCACUCCUUGAACAUCAAUGAUGGUGGUGCUCUGGUCGAUGUGCUUCUUAGCAGCAAUGGAGCAAGAUGGGAACUUGUAAGUGAAAGCUUUCUCAAACUCCUGAACAUGGUACUUCACAUAUCGAUCCAACGAUGUGACCUGAACCAGCUUGUUGGCAUCAACUUCGCCGAGCUUCUCGAUGUAGACUGGCCUCCCAUCUUUGUCUACUCCAUGGUACCCUUGUGGAUAGUACUGCAGGACUUCAUCUACUUCCUUGAACUCAAAGUCCUGUUUCAGAAAAAGGAAAAGAAACCCACAACGUUCUUCAGAACUGAAUGAGGGCAAAGUUGACAACUUUUUCCUGAAACCAUAUCAUGAUUGGACUCAUGUAGAGUACUAACCAUUCAGGAUUUUGCCGUAAAUCGUGAUAACAUGACUAAUUAACCGGUCUAACCUGACUAUACUUAGAGUUGGGGAUUCACCAAUUCGGUUUAACAUGACUCAUUUGAUUUUGUUUGUUUUACACACCACUCACGACCUUAAACCCAAGUCGAUAACAUAAUGGAUUGAUAAACAAUCGGUAGUUCUCCUUGCUCGGCUAACACGAAACGGUGAAACAUGUUAGAAACUGAGUUCCAACUUAGUUUGAGUUACUCGAUAAUCAAGGAAAACCAAUGUACUUAUCUUGACAUCGAAUAUCAGGAUUAAACCAAUGAGGGGAAACCAUUCAGAACCUAACGAGUAUCGGUUUAGCCUCAAUUACGAGUCCUUAGGCCUAGUUAAACCGAUCUAAUAACUUGGUCAAUAGGGUCAGAUUCAGUGGUUCGGUUUAGCUGAAUAGAUAGAAAUAUCGAGCUCCAACCAAAAAUCUGUCAACUAACCAACCAAACAAAACCUAUACGACAACCGGUUUCACAAACACUAACAAAUCAACAAAGAAAGAGAAUUCUAUGUAUGUAAUUUUACUUACCUCCAUGAUUAAAUCAGUACCAAACUCCUUUCUCCACUGGAUCAUAUCCCCCCACAUCUGUUUGGCCUUGUCAAUGUCAAACUUCCUGGCCUUGAGGAACCUGAGCAUCAUGUGAUGAUCAUCAUGGUUUGAAGGAAGAAGCUCAUCAAGGAUGAGUGCCUGCCUGAAUGCAUCCACAGCCCUGAGCUCCUCCCCGUUGAUUUCGUCGACUAUCGAGACCGACAUUACCCUGCUGUUCCUGCGGCCUUUCUUUGUCAGGGAGCUCCUGAACUUGUUGGAGGCAUUGAUUGCCUUCUUCUUGAAUGACUGCUUCUUCUUCUCAUCCUCUGAGAACUCUUGAUUCUCAGGUCCUCCUAAUAAAACAGGGUCAAAUAUCUGAUUCAUCCCCGUAACUUUGGACCAUUGGUUCAGUAUGUUCAAUCCGUAUAGAAAAUGCUGAAACAGCAAAAUAAAAAAAAGUUGUAUACCUAGUUUAGGAUUUUUGUCCGGAAGGACUAUAGACAUUGCAUCAGCCAUGAUGAUUGGUUCCUGGCAAUGAGUUUCUUAUCAGAGAUUGGUUGGGAAUGAAAAGGGUAUUGAAAAGUUUGAAACUUUGUUCAGAAUCCAUCUGGGGAAUUGAGCAAUCAACGUUGAUCCAUAUGAUCAUAUGAAUGGCUAAAAAGCCAGAAUCAUCAAAUUUCUUAUCGGAUUAGGAACAAAUGAUAAGUAAGUCUGAAACUUAAACCGAAAUCCGUACGAGAUUUGAUAGUCAGGACAAAUCAUAUAACAACGUUAACGUAUGCCAUCAUUCAUUUCCUCAACAAACACAAGAUGUAAACCAGAUUAUGCAACAAAACUACAUGUUAUCCAUAACUUCAAAAUCCGGGAAGAUGAAGGGAGAUCAAGAGUUACCUAUUGGAACUAAUGUAGGUGUGGGGAAGAAGAUGGACAAUGUUUUUUUGUGUUUGGUUAUAUGUAAUUACAAGAAGAAAGGGAGGACCUUUCUAAAACUAAAUCAAAAGGAAGAACCCAAUUUAAAACUAUAUACAUAGUCUUGUGUUUGAUUACUUAGAGAGAGAAGUGGGGAGGAGAGAGAUUUGAAUCAAACAAUAAUAAGAAUAUAUCAUACACACAAAUAACAAACUAAUUAAAAUGGCUAAUACAAGUUAAUCCAUUCAAUGGUUGACCUUCCUUAACCAAUCAUUUUUCCAAAAUCUUUUGGCUAAUUUUAUGCUAUUUAGUUAUAUGACUUAUAUAAAGUCAUAUCAAAAAUAAUUUAUUAUCUGCCGUUGAAUAUGUUGAAACCGGUCAUAGAUCAUUUGUAAUCUAUUAUGAGUGUUUUAUUAAUCUAACAUUUUUUUAUAAAUGUUCACACUUGUUUGAAUUAAGUAACAACUAGCUGGUGUCAGUUUUACAUUAUACGAUAAUUUUUUUUGGAAAUUAUCAACACAAUGUGGUUACUUUUGUACAAACUUCUUGUGACAUUAAAAAGCUUAUUGGAGUGUGAAACAAGCUCUACUUGGCUAUUUUCAAUUAAAAUUUCGAGACUAAUAUCAUAAAAUUAGGCUCGACACAAUAAUGUGCAUUAUGUGUGAAAAAAUUAAAAAGUGACACAAUAAAAAUAUACCAAUACAUUAAGUUAUAAAGGUUCAGUGACCAAUCCAUUACUUAACUUUAAAUUCAGUGAGCAUCGAGUAACUAGUCCAUCAUUUCUGUUCCUCUGACCCCUUUCAUAAUAGUCUCCAAUCAAGCACAAGCUUUCAACCUUCAACCCUAGCGCUUAUGCUCUAAAAUGGCGUCUUGUACCCACUUCUCCCAGCCGUUAGCUUCAUCAAGAACCCUAACUCAAUCCCGCGCUCGAAACCUAUAUUCAAAAGCCUUUUCUUUAUCCACUCCAAAUUACUCUUCCAGACAAUCCUUAGCUCUUCGUGCAGUUCUCUCGCAAAACCCUACCAAAACCUCUCCUCCACCGAAACUCGACAACCAAUUCGAGCAUUGUUUCUCCAAAUUAUCCGAUGGAUUUCUCUACUGCGAGAGCGUCAAGGUCCAGGAUGUCAUGGACACUGUUGAGAGGCGGCCGUUCUACCUGUACAGCAAGCCUCAGAUCACUAGGAAUGUUGAGGCCUACAAGGAUGCUUUGGAAGGAUUGAAUUCAGUAAUUGGAUAUGCUAUCAAGGCUAAUAAUAACUUGAAGAUUUUGGAGCAUUUGAGGAAGUUGGGAUGUGGGGCUGUUCUGGUCAGUGGGAAUGAGCUCAGAUUGGCUCUCAAGGCUGGGUUUGAUCCCACAAAGUAGGUUCCUUUAUUAUGUUGCUGGACUGAGUUUUUGUUCCCCCGUUCUGAUUAUGGCUAUUCUUUCUGGUGAUGGGAACAGGUGUAUAUUUAAUGGAAAUGGGAAGCUGUUGGAGGAUUUGGUUCUGGCUGCUGAAGCAGGUGUCUUUGUUAAUGUGGAUAGUGAAUUUGAUUUAGAAAAUAUUGUGGCAGCUUCUAGGGUUGCUGGCAAGAAGGUUAAUGUUUUGCUUCGGAUCAAUCCUGAUGUGGAUCCUCAGGUAUACAAUACGAAAUCAGAUAUAACAUGUUAUUUUGUCGUGCAAGUGUUUGAUAGGAGAGGUUAGAGAAGUUGUGAGGUUCUUUGGAGCCCAAAGCCAGUAGCUUUAGCUGAAAUUUUAUGUUUUCUUUCAGUUUUUAAGUUCUGCCGUAUGCUUUGAACAUAUUCUACUGCACAUAAUCCUUUCCCCGAUUGAAGCCCGGUAGCUAGUUGUAUUGGUUUUCGUGAUGUUUUUCCGAGCUGAAUACCAGUAGUGCCAACUGAAAGUGUUAUACUUUUUAAUCUGUGUUUGAUGAAUUUCUUUGAGUUUUUAAGCUAUUUUGUAUAAUGGGAUUUUAUUCGUAACCUCCUUAGACCGUGUCCAAAACAGUUGGACUAUUUAUGCCUUGAACCUAUUCUACUGCACAUAACCCUUUCUGUGAAUUUCUUCUACAUUUGAGAUCCGUAAGGUGUUCUGUAUUUGAAGUCGCUGAGUUUCUCUGGCUUACUAUUACUAUGUUUAUUUCAUGGAUUGCUUAGGUCCACCCUUAUGUAGCUACCGGGAACAAGAACUCAAAGUUUGGUAUUAGAAAUGAGAAGCUGCAAUGGUUUCUGGAUGCUGUAAGGGCACAUCCGAAUGAGCUGAAGCUUGUUGGUGCCCACUGCCAUCUCGGAUCAACGAUUACCAAGGUGUGUAGCACUGCAAGAUGCUUUUUUUUUCCAGUUUGUGAGAUGUUCUGUAUUUAAUAUGAUGAAUUUAUUAGCUCCCUUUUCACACUACGAACGGUGCCUCUUUGCAUUUAAUAUGAUGAAUCCUGUUCUGUAGAAACUGCCAUUGACUUAUCAUUAGCCCUUCAGUGAUUUAGUUCUUCCCAUUUUUUCCGUUUAGGUGGACAUAUUUAGGGAUGCUGCUGGUCUUAUGGUACACUAUAUCGACGAAAUACGUGCGCAAGGCUUUGAAGUUGAUUACUUAAACAUUGGAGGUGGUUUGGGGAUAGAUUACCAUCACUCCGGUGCUGUUCUGCCCAAGCCAAGGGAUCUCAUUGACACUGUAAGUAUCUUACACUUAAGAAAUCAUGUUCUAUUUGACAUCAAACGAUUCCCAUAAAGACUGGUUAUGCUCAGUGGUCAUGAUUUGUCACUGUAGGUUCGUGAAGUGGUGCUCUCUCGGAAUCUCAAUCUCAUUAUCGAACCAGGGAGAUCCCUCAUCGCCAACACCUGCUGCUUCGUAAAUAGGGUUACUGGCGUAAAGACAAAUGGCACGAAAAAUUUCGUCGUGAUUGAUGGUAGCAUGGCUGAGCUCAUCCGUCCUAGUCUAUAUGAUGCUUAUCAAGUAAGAAACCAAGUAGAGACUAGUUUGUUGAGCUGUUUAUUAUCGAUGUAUCUGUUCCUGCCAUUGAGACUUCUUCCUGCCAUUGAGACCAAGAACUUUGUUGUCCCUGUUCUUGCAGCACAUAGAGCUAGUUUCUCCUACGCCACCAGAUGCUGAGGUGUCAACCUUCGACAUUGUUGGUCCUGUGUGCGAGUCGGCUGACUUUCUGGGAAAGGAGAGGGAACUUCCUACUCCACCCAAGGUAACUUACAUUUUGCUUUCAUGGAUUUUUCAGUAGCUGCAAAUAUUAUUGAUUUGCACUUCUUACAGAAACAUGCAUUUGCAGGGAACCGGUCUGGUGGUUCAUGAUGCUGGAGCUUACUGCAUGAGCAUGGCAUCAACUUACAACCUCAAGAUGCGCCCUCCCGAGUAUUGGGUACGUAGAAUCCCAUACCACCACUCUCUUAUUUCGAGUGCUCGUGUUCUCCUCUUGCAUGAAACUGAUGAGAAUUUGUUAUGUGACUGUUCAGGUUGAGGAUGAUGGGUCAAUAGCCAAGAUUCGACAUGCAGAGACAUUCGAAGACCAUAUCCGGUUCUUCAAUGGGCUGUAAUUUGUGAGCUUUAGGUUCAAUCUACCAAGCAAUAAAGCCUCUGAGCUUGUUUAAUUUUGUACUGAAAUCGGGUUAUUUUGUAAGGCAGAAGUGUUGUUCCUUGUUCUAUAAGUUAUCGAGUUACCAUUUUGUUGAAAAUUAUCUCACUGGAUUUGUAUCUGCCUAAAAGUUAAGUGACCCUGAGCCUUUUUUCUUACAGUAUUGACCCGUGUUGUUGAAUCGGACUGGAUGGUGUACUAGACUCGUAACUCAUAAGAUCAUAAAUCGGUUGUCAAUCGGUUCUAACUGAUAAAAAACCAUACAUCCUUCAAAGAUGAAGAUAACGGUCAUUAGACAUUAUAUACUAAUCUUAAUGAUCUAAUGAAAUCGAGCUAUAAUGAAAUUGAGCUGAUUUUUUCACUAAUUUUUUAACCGAUUUAACUUCUUCCGUCAGAACCCCCCUCCCUUGCAACUUACAACUCACGAGUUGAUGCUCCGAUCCGGAUCUAGGAAUCUGAAUACCAAGUUAAGUAUAACUAUUUCCCAUAAUUUCCAUGAUAGGAUAGUUAAUUAAUAAUUACCAUCUUUUUUAGGUACCAAUUUAAGUAAUUUACUAUCUUCUUAGGUACCGUAUCUGCGAUUUUUUUAUACUGUAUUUCGGUAUUUUUAUUUUUUACAAUCUGGUGCAGCCGCCAUAUAGUCGUUUUGGCGGCACUUCCUUUUUCCACAAAUUUCCGCGGCAUUACCACUUCCUCGUUACUGCUCAAGAAACUCGAAACCCUAACUUGAAGUUGUGGCGCGAAGAUUCCAUUUCUCCCUCUCGCGAUUCUGCAUCGAAUCGGUCAGUAACAUUCCCCUCUCCUUCUCUGUUUCCGGAUUGCAUUUCGUAUUCUUUUUCCGUUCAUCUGAGCGACUUCGAUUCGGUUCAAUUGCAUGCAAAAUUCAAAGUUCUGAGUAGUAAAAUGUGUUUGGCGGUGGUCGAGGAUUCGAGAUUGCAUUGUCAAUUUUUCAGCUGCUGUAGUUUUCUUUCUUGAAAUUGUCCGUUGAUAUCGUCUUUUUUGUGCCGCUGAUUUCAGUUACCACAACAACUGUUCUGCAAGACUCAGCCUGCUAGGUCUCUCAGUUUCUGGAGAACUCUCUCUUCGAUGGCGAGUUCUGUAGCCAGCCUUUCCAAUGGCGGUGUUGGUGGACAGCCAGAUCCACAGAGGACUUACCAGGUUGUCGUGGCUGCAACUAAAGAUUGGGGUAUCGGGAAAGAUGGGAAGUUGUCUUGGAAGCUGCCUUCUGAUCUCAAGUUCUUUAAAGAUGUUUCCUUGACGACUUCCGAUUCCGGGAAGAAGAAUGCAGUGGUCAUGGGUAGGAAAACAUGGGAGAGCAUCCCACUUCAGCACCGUCCUCUCCCUGGACGUCUGAACUUGUUCUCACUCGAUCGGGGAGCUUCAAUAUCGCUACUGCGGAGAAUGUUGUGAUUCGUGGGAGCAUGCAUUCUGCUUUAAUUGGCUGCUUCUCCUUAUUGUCUAUCUAUUGAGAAAGUCUUUGUGAUUGGAGGUGGCCAGAUAUUGAGGAUUUUAAAGUUUUUUGGGUUUCCGUAACUUUUACAUUUUGUUUGUAAUGCUGGUAGUGUUUGUUUGUUUGUUUGUCGAUUGAAACGUGUGUUCUUUGCAGGGAAUCUCUUAAUGCAGCUAAGUGUGAUGCACACUUGACGGAGAUUUGACGAGCUUUGAAUGUGAUACCUUCAUUCCUGCGAUUGAUUACUCAGUAUUUCAGCCUCGGCAUUCGUCUCCUCAUGUUGUGGAGAAUGGCAUACGGUUUUGUUUUACUACGUAUGCUCGAAUAAGGAGUUUGGUUGUUGAGUCCGAGAGCGGACAUGAUGACAAGAUAUCAAGUAACAGCUGCGAAAACAGUAAGUUUGAGAUAAAAAGUUCUCGUUCCUUCCCAAGACGGUUUUUGAGAAACACGAGGAGUUCUUGUACUUGAGAAUGGUACAGGAGAUCUUGUCAAGUGGCAACUCUAAGGAUGACAGGACGCAAACUGGUACUUUGUUUAAAUUUGGUUGCCAGGUAAUGCACUCGGCUGUUUAGUACUUGUGGGAUAUGGUACUCUUUAAUAACUGGUUAUGUCAAGAUAACACUUACAAUUCCUGUUUACUUACAGAUGCGGUUCAAUCUUCGGAAAUCCUUUCCUCUUCUGACGACUAAGGUUUGUUACUUAUAAUGCCUUGUCCAUAUUUGGUUAAACAAUAACGUUACCAUCAUCGUUCCCUCUCUCUCUUUUUUUGCUAAUUAAUUAAUGAUCAUUUGCAGUUUUACGCGGCGAACGGGGAGCUGUCGUGCCAAAUGUAUCAGCGGUCCGCUGAUAUGGGCCUUGGUGUGCCUUUCAACAUUGCUUCUUAUGCACUCCUGACUUGCAUGAUUGCUCAUGUUUGUGGUAUACAUUUCAUCUCUCUUCAUUGCUCCAUUUAUCGGAGUAAUAGUUGUUUUGUAUCAUCAAUGUCAAUGCUGGGAGGUUAACUCUAUUCAUGUUCAUAUUGUUGCAGAUUUUGUCCCUGGAGAUUUCGCUCACGUAUAUCUUACUCAUGUUGGGCCUCUGGAGGAGCAGCGUAAGAAAUCACCGAAUACUUUCCCGGUAAUCGCAUAGUGGAAGCAGAACUAACUAGCUCAUCUUGUUUCUCUGUUACUUUGCUUCUAUUGUUGGUACUGGAGGCUUCACAUUUAAUCUCCUCUCAAAAAUUGGUUCUCAGAUUUUAAAGAUUAAUCCAGAGAAGAAAGACAUAGAUUCCUUUUCAGCAGCAGAUUUCAAGCUCAUAGGCUAUGACCCCGAACAGAAGAUCGAAAUGAAGAUGGCAGUUUAAAAGGCCUUUUACUAUAGUUCCAGUCAACUUUCAAGUUUAUCUAUGUUUCUUAAUACUUUUGAGGUACUUCUUUACUCAUCUUCCGGUUCUUGUUCGUUCACCUGUAACUUACUUCUUAGGGUUUGACAACUGUUCUUCCUUGUUUCCAGGUUUCGGUAUGGGAAGAACGAUCGAAGUUUUGUACAAGUGUCGAAUAUGAACAUGGUAAUCUGAUGGUCUUAAAGAGUUUUCUUUUUUGCUGGUUUAGUAAUGUGGAAUAGUUCGCCCACCCGGUGAUCUGUGGUGAUUUAGAUCAUGGUAGAACUUGGUAUGAACUCUGUAAUGAUAAAUGAAUUCCGGCUCAGUUAGAAUGAGGACGAGAGUACUGAAUUCAAUUUGUCUACAAUAAGAUCACUCGAAACAAACCAUUUACAGAAUGGAAUUGGGUAGAAGGUGUUACACAACUGGCUUACAUUUUCCUGCAGAUUUUAGGUUAAGAAUAUGCUGCAAGAGGGGGGCACAGAAAAAAAGGAGAUGAAAUAAGUACCUCCCAUUUCAUGCUAAUUUUGCACGAGCAAGCUCCAUUGCUUAUCCAAAGUUUGCAUGUGACUGAUGGAUCCAACUUGACUGAUGAGUGAACCACAGCUCAUCUCCAAGUACAUCCAUAGCUUUAUACCAAAGAACCUGCUCCCCCAACAUUUCCCUUUUCCACUUCUUGCCUGGUUUGCAAUGUCUUGCGUUGGUUUGGAUUGUUGAGGAAAAGAAAAGAGCUUUCAUAUAGCUUGACCAAACCGAAAAACAAAAUGUUAUACGAGUGAUGUGCUUUUCUUUUACGGUUUCGCUAUUUUAUCGUGAACGGUUAGGCUACAAAACAGGAGGUUGAGUGUCCCGCUUCGUUAAAUGGAACUAUUGAUCACAUCAUCAUCAUACUAGUCCCGCAUCAUUUCGUCUCGCGAAAUCUAACCUGAGUUAGGAAAGGUUCGAGCUAUCAUGAUGGGUCAAUCUGAGCCAACAUAGUGAGUCAGGAAUGAAUCAGCUCUAUCAUGUUGCUGCAUGGGUUGAUUCCAAAUUAUCACAAAUUUUAGACUUUCUGUCUUUUCUUUUUUAUUCCUUUUUUCCCCUGUUUGUCUGUCAAGUUUACCCAAUGAAGAACAGUUCUCAUAAUCUCACAAUCAUCUGGGUUUUCCUCUUACUGUUCUUUUCUUUCACUUUAUGGAAACAGAACGUGAGUUCAAAUUCUUACCACCACAUCUGUUUUUGAUCCCAUCAAGGAGCAUAUGGUGUCAAGUUCUGUCCUUUUACCCUUUGGAAUCACAGCAUAUAUUUCAAUUCCAUUCUCCAGUAAAGCUGUGGAACUUUUCACAGUUAAUCUAAACAAGCUCUCAGCUGGAGUCUGGGUUUAUCUGGAGAAGUUCGUAGCUGUAAUUAGGGAUUAUCUACAAAUCCAGACAGUAAAAAGUGGAAGCUCACGAUGGUAAAAAAACACAACUUUAUAGCUGGUUUGUUUGUUUUUACAUAGGGGGUAUCUGAUUUUUCUCAUUACAAUGUACAAAACCAUUCAAACAGGCUCAUCUGUAUAGAAACUAGAAAAGAAAAAGAUCCAAACUACCCAAAAAAGGUAACUUCAUCGCAAACUUAUGCUUAAGCUAAACUGUCACACAAUUACAGAGUUCUCCUCGUCUCGUCGGAACCUCUUCUGCCUCUCGAUGAACGCCUCGAUCGUACUCUUGAACUCCUCACUGGUCAAAUUAUCCUCAGGAAACUUAUCACCACCCUUGUUCUUCUGCUUCUUCUUUGUCAAAUUCUCAGUUGCAGAUCGCCUCAAUUCCUUCUCGGGCUUGUGAUAACUCGUCAGAUUCUCGGACCGACUCCUCUCGUAGCUCUUGACGAUCAUCGCCGAACCAGAAACAGAGCUUUCUUCCUUGACAGUGGCUUCCAGUUUAUCACUCGGUUUUACUCUGUUUUCUGAAACUCUAACAACGGCUUCCAAUUUCUCACUCUGUUUUCCUCUGUUUUCCUGAGCAGUACUACUGCUUUUCCCACUCAUUUCGACGAACUGUUCAUAAAGAUCGGAUUUUUUCCCGGUGCUCCCCCGAAGGUGGCCGGACUUGACGAAGAGGACGACGACGAUCACGUUCCCGACGAUGAACACGAACCGGGGGCUGAUGAGGACGAGCAGAAAGUCCUUGAUGUAGUCGCCAGAACCCUUGAGGGAGACCGGGAGCUGGACCGAAACCCGGGAUAGAACCGCCAGGACUACCAGGAUUUCCACCAGUCUCAGCAUGUUUGUGACGUUCUGGAUCUUCCUCUGCUUCUUCAUCGCCUUCACUGCCCUGACCGUGAACGAAUCCAUUUCCGUCUUGAAAGAGUAUCGAACCGGUGAAUAAUCAGGAUUCCUGUAUUAAAGUUUCUCAGGGGCUCUUUCAGUUCAAAUUGGCCUUGGAAGUAGCUGUAUACCCGAGAUGAGAUGCGACGAGAGGACGCCUUGAUUCGAUUACCGGUGUCGGAUUAGGGACGGAGGAUUUAAAAACAGAGGAUGCUCUGUGUUUUUGUGGAGAGCUUGUUGUGUUGCUCCUUGUAAGGUUUAAGUUGUGGGGAGUGGGGAUAUAUAUAGCUGAGUGGGCUUUGUCUGUACAACAUGAUUAAUAUCUUUUCUUUACUUUUUGUAACUAAUAUAAGAUUCUAAGCAUAUAGGCAAGCCUCUAUGCUCAUAACUGAAAUUCGGGACGAAAUUGAGUACCCAAACCCGUACUUCAUGGAUACCCAUCCCAUAAGAUUCUAACUUUGUUUUCCAAAUCCUAAACCUGUUCAGGAUUACGGGUAUCCUUAACCCGGGAGAGUAGCUCAGAUACAAGGUCGGGUACCCAUUCAUCCCAAACGAUAUGCAACAAACAAUUUAUGUUUCCUAACAAGUUCACAGUCAUGUAAGUUAAUAAUGCGUUUCUACAGAAGAUGCAAUUAGUUUUACUAAUUUCCAAUCAACAUUAGGAUUAGGAAGUUGUUAUACUGUAGUGCUACUGUUGUUUGGCACUGGGUAGCCAUACCUCCACUGCAUCUUUCUCUCUUCAUUCCAUCGUACCUUUCUCUUCAAUGCAUCUUUAAUACCCUACUAAACUCCCGAUACAAUAAUGGCUACGAGAAGCAUGGAGCCUCUGCUCAUGGCUAGCUUGAAAUUAUGUUAGUAGGAACAAGAACUGGUAAAUAUCAAAUAAGUUAUUGGGUGGAUCAGCGGGUUUUUGAUUAGGUGGGUUGCGGAGUAGAUUAGGAAUACGGGUAAAACUGGAUUAUGGAUUAACCUGCACGGGUAAAUGCGUACCAACGGGUACUAAAUUACACAAAUAUGCAUCCCAUGUCCCGAAAUCAUUGAUAAAGCAACCUCCAUACAUUUUAAAUUAUUGUGAUGUUUAUAUAAAUUAAUUAUAUGAAGGGUAUAACACUCGCAAUUGAGUUAGAUAAGUCAUGUCCCAACAAGUGUGAGCUAAAUAGGUUACAAUCAAUCAAAUAAUAAGAUAUGUAUGUUUUCAUUCUCCGAAUAAUGAUAUAGACAGAGGCUCAAUGAUUAGCUUCCAUACAUAUCAUGGGCUGCUUGAUUUAGUCAUGUUUGGUAAGAAACUUUAUAAAAAGGUUUGAAUCAAAGGUGACAAAUAGGGUUAAUUGGGUUAGGUUGAGCGGGUUUAUCCAAUCAUAUCGUAGUAUAUAACAUGUAUAUAGAAAAUAGUUAAUUUUAUGCAUUUUCAAUGAGCCUUAAAAUUGAAGAAAUAUAUACAUAGUGGAAUAUUAUUUUAAUUGGUCUGUUGAACGGACGGACAAAAACUAGUACAAAAAAGAGUUAUUCUCAUGUAAAGCAAGUGCAUCUAAAAAACCUACUACUUAUUUGUUUCCCUCUCUCAUAAUACAUAUAUGACGCUUCCUAGCCCUUGUUCGUUAAGUAGCUUCCAUGAUUGUUUAUAAUAUCUAGUAAGACUAGAGUAUUCAAAUUCUUUUAACUCGAAUCACUUAUUUCAGCUUCCGAAUCAAUGGAGCGAAAACACUAAAAUUGAAACAUUUUUACCCCUAGACACCUUAAGGUAAAGGAAUUGCAUUCCCCACCAUGCCAUUAUUUUUCUAGCUUUGUUGAAAUGGUUGUGGGAGGCAUUUCUUCUUCAUUUCUUUUUAUUGGCCCCCUUUUUAGGCAACUUUUUCCCAUUGAAUUAUUGCUCUUUUUUUUGUGAAAUUGAAAUGGGUUUGCCUUGAUAUAUUCCCACCACAUUUGGAGCUGAAUCAGCAAAAGCAUCAGAUUUUAUUUUCUUGAAGCAUAAUGGCAUGCAAGCAGAAUGAAUUCACAAAUCUAUCCAUAUUCUUAUUUGUGAGAAUAUCCCCUUACCUUAGUCCUAAGAACCCUAGAAUUGUGUCAUCUUAUUCUUUCUGGAUAACAUUAUUGUUACUAGUUGACACUCACUCAGUGUUGUUUGCGCGGAAGGAUAUGGACAAAGAAUGUCGAACCGGUUUCGUGAGUGAAUUCCGAGUUGAAUAGUGUGGUCUUUGUUCCAAAAUUAUUUAUAUGUUCUAUGUUGGUUUAUUUAUAUUGGUUAGGAUUUUCGUCUAUGGCAUGAUUAGCUCUUAAAAACUGACCGAGAGAUCUCCUCUUAAAAAUUAGAACAUACUAUUGAAAUCCAUUAUGUCAAUUAUUACUCUAACCACCAUUCNNNNNNNNNNNNNNNNNNNNNNNNNNNNNNNNNNNNNNNNUUAAAAAUAAUACAUAGGCUUCCACAUAUAGCCUAUAUUUUCAGACUAUUCGUCAAUUAGAUAUUAAAGCCGCUCAUCUAAUAACACAUUUAAUUCUUAGAUAUCUUCCAGGAUUAUUAUAAAUAGUUCUCACUCUAUCAAAUCAUAAUUAAAAUUAUUUAUAUUUGAUAUUUUUUUAUCUCCAAAAAAAGCUAUAUAAACCAGAAAAAAUAAUACAUAAAUAAGAAUACAAGAAAUGUGAUGGAAAAAAAAGUAGUUACCAUGGGAAAAGAAAGCAGAUAAGAAAUGGGCAGUUACAAAAUGGGGCCCACAAAAAAGCCCAAAUGGAAGAGUAACCAUAAACAUUAUCAAUUUCCUUCAACACUAAGAAACUAACUGCCCACAUAACAACCACACUAAGUAUUUGUAUGAUGUGAUUUAUGUCUCCGGUAAUUAAUUAGUGGGUUUUCUAUUUAUGAAGUGUGGAAUAAUAAAAUUAUUGAGUUAUAUAGUUUGCUAAUAGUUUACUAUAGAGUUAAUAGUUUAAUUUUUUAAAGUAUUUUGGUUAUAGUUACAUCAAAAUUCAUUAAAAGAUAAACGAAAUAUGAAUGUGGUAUGAAUUUUACUAUUUUUUUUACAUAGUUGAUAGUGUUAGGAUUGGUAGCGAUUAUCUUACCCUAUAUGCAUGCUUUUUGAGUGAAUACUAGUUUGUUUGUGCUGCAAUCCUGUGUGAUUUUGUGUUUUGGCAUUGCAUGCCUAUACCCGUUCACUUGGACCGUUUCGGUCCAUUUGAUGUGUUUCUUUGUAGUAUUUAUUAUCCACGGAUACUUUAGAGACAUGUGGUUUGGCUAUGAGGCUAUGAACGCGGAAUAGAGCAAGGCUGGAGCUCAAACGGAAGGACGGUGCAAGAAUUGAUAAAGAAGCAGGGCUGCAUGCCGUGCAUCUGUGCACCCCGUGCAGGCCCUCAGGCUGCAAUUACCCUCGUAGAAAAAAGGGGUGCACGCCGUGCACCUCCCGGAUCCAGCAAUUUCCAUAUAAAAGGAGCAAUUUGAGAAAAGAGAGAUCAUCUUCUCCAACGAAAUUCCUUCGAUUUCCCCGACUUUCCUCUGCAAAAACACCAUAUUUUCAUCCCUAAAAGUUUGAUUGAAGAUCCGAAGAAGUCCCCAUUGAAGAUUGAAGUUAGGAUUGAAGCUAGAAGAUCAAAAGUGAAGAUUGAUCCAAGUCUGAUUCAUUGUACCUUCAUCAAGAUGGUGGUUAGGUCUUUUAAUAUGUCCUCUUCUUCUAGAGUUAUGAGUAGCUAAAUUCUUAGAGUUUUUGGUUGGGAUGUAGGAUUUAAGUCAUGAUACUCUCCCUAAAAGUAUAGGGUCGACGAUUGUUGGAUAUUUGGAAUUGAAUGAAAGAUUGCUUUGAUUGUUGAGGUUUCAACCUUGUUCUUGUUACGACUUGAAUUAGGUCAAANNNNNNNNNNNNNNNNNNNNNNNNNNNNNNNNNNNNNNNNNNNNNNNNNNNNNNNNNNNNNNNNNNNNNNNNNNNNNNNNNNNNNNNNNNNNNNNNNNNNNNNNNNNNNUUUUCGUGCUUCUUUUGGUUUUAAAGGUUGUUAAUCGAGUAAUUAGCGGGUCUCUGAUUUGCACAUAAUGAACCAAGUUGGAUGUAGUUAUCAGUAGUGUAGAUGUUGAUGGACCAAGUUAACAUUAAUUUCAAUUAAAUGUGAUUUCCUUUUAAUUCCUAAAGAGCACCUUAUCACUUUGUAGAACUUCUCGGUGUUCAUCACUGGUUAGUCUAGUUGAGGUUAUUCCAACCUUGAUUGGAAAACUAGUAGUGGUAAUCCGCGUACAUGAUCAUACUAUAGAUUCAUACGAUUGAUAAUAGUUUUGAUUCCACUUAGCACUUAGAUUAUAUGAAUAAUUAUUGAUUGGAGAAUUAACAAAAGAAAAGCACCAAUUUAGAGAUAAUUUCAAUUAUAGUAGGGAUAAUUUCACAUAUUUCAAUCAAAAUUACCAAAUAUUGCGAGGUACUCGUAACUAAAAAUAGGAGAUAUAGCCGGUAAUCGAUCAUUGUCAAAUGUAAGAGAGAUAAAGAAGUAUGCGAAUGUCUCCUAGUGGAUCACCUUCAUUGGUAUUGGAUUUGAAAUUCUAUGUUGUAUAGUGUACUCUCAAUUUGCCUCAUAUGAAAAAAUGCCAGGUCUUUGUACCAACUUUUUUUAUCGUUCCAUGGGUCGAAUAAGUAAAAUGCACGGGGCGAACACCCGACAUCCGUCAUUGUGUGGCCGGUCGGGAUGACUUUGUGAACUGGCGGAGGAUGAACCUAUCAUAAUUUUCUCCAAGUUUGAUCGGCCAUGUGGCUAUCGGGACCAUAUCUCGCUGAGCCCUCAAAAUCAUAAUGGCUACAAUUUGACCUUUCAACAAACUUUUAAGUAAAAAUCUCAAGCUGGUAUGAACAAACUUUAUCAUUUAUUCCUAAACAUAUAUUCAAACAUGGUAUUUUCGAUCGCAAAAAUCUUAUAUUAUUUAGUAUUUAGUCACAAAAGCAAAAAAGAAAACACAAGAACUACACGCUCAAACGUCAUUAAAUCAAUUUCAUCAAAAGUGUGGAAUUAGAUUCUGUAGCAACGAACUCGAAUUGAAAUUUCGUUUUGAUAAUGGCAUUAGUGGUUCAUUUCAGUUGCUCAUAUAUUUUUAUUUAUUUAUCAUUUCAUAACAAAACCAACGACAAUAAAAUAAUAACAUAAUUAAACAAGGCAGCCAGCAGGGAAUAUUAUUUAUGAUUUUCUUUUAAUUAUCAAAUCCCCGUGCCCUUUUGAAAUAAUUAAAUAAUUGAUUAAGCAUAUUUCUUGUUAUUCAAGUUUGAUAUUCAAGGAAUAUAGUAGAAAACUAUAUAUCAAGUUUGAUCUCUAAAUUAUGUCUCAACCAAACUUUACUAGAUUCCAAUUCACUAAACACUUGUUAAAAUGAGACAAGAUAUUAUAUCGAACAGGUAACGUUAUUAAAAUUAUUGACUUUUGAAUCUCUCCCUACUUUCUAUUGACUUUUUUAUUGAAUAAUAUGCACAUUGGUGUAAGUGUCUUGUACCUUUAUAUGAGUGGGUCUACACCUAGAGCCAUCCUCACCAAAGUACAAAACUACUUAUACCAAGACGUCCAUAUUUUCCAACAAUCAUAUAUGGCAAAUAUAUAUGUCGCCUCUUUUGGGUUGCGAUCAAGACACCCGUGUAAAUUUUGAUCGACUGACAGUUUCAAUGUAUUAAGUCGAGGACGAAUAAACAUCGUUCUUAAUAACGUAACUGACCACAUCGUCAUACAAUUUCGAUCAAAUUCACACAUUGCAAUUUUGGUCCGUUACGUGAUUUCCUUAAUCAUUUGUUUUGUGGUCUAUGCCCUUGUUUUAAUAAUAACACAUUACCAUCUUUUUGUUUUGUGGGUCGUCUAACUUCAACUCUAAUCGACUACAUGACUAGUUGUGGUAAGGCCCACCAAUAUACGGGCCUCUACUGGGGCUAAGGCCCACGGAAAAGGCGCGGAAUCCCUGAACCAUCGUCGUUCAGAUAUAUAUUUGAAGAAAACCCUAGAAAUCCUCAAAAUCCUUUUGAUUUUCCCAGGCGCCGAACGAACAACCUUCUGCUUUUCACUGGCGAUCUCUCCUCAUCAUCACAAUGGUGUGAUUCAGCUUCGUAGAUUUGUGUUGUUGUUUCCAUAGUCAUCUACACUUUAUACUUAGUCUGUGUUCUGAUCGUCGAUUUUGAUUGGUUUCUUGUUGCAGGCUCCCAAGAAGGAUAAGGUUCCGCCGCCGUCGUCGAAGCCAGCCAAAUCCGGGGGAGGGAAGCAGAAGAAGAAGAAAUGGAGCAAAGGAAAGCAAAAGGAGAAGGUCAACAACAUGGUCCUCUUCGACCAAGCUACCUACGACAAGCUUCUCUCUGAAGCUCCCAAGUACAGGCACAUCACUCCGUCAAUCCUCUCCGAUCGUCUGAGGGUAAUUUAGUUUUGCCUUGAUUCUCUCUUUUGACUUUUAGUUCUGUUGAAUGGUUUGCAGGCUGAGCUGGUUUAGUUGUUAUAUUGUUAUGUUAGACUGACUAUGGAUUAGUCGGAUCUAGGCUAUCUUUGUAAAGCUGUGAAUCUGUUCUUGCUCUGGAAUUUCCGGCCAUGGUCAUCGAUUUGUGGACAUAAACUGAUGAGUAUUGUGGCUAUAGUUCGUUAGGUUUUGAAUUGCAUUCAUGGUUUUGCCUGGCCAAGAAUUUGAGCCAGCUGCUUGGUAGUCUAAUGUGUUUCUGCAUUUGUAAUCUAAGUAUGAUUAGAAAGCCAUUGCCUUUAGCUUUUUGUAUCGCAUGGUUCUAUCAACGAUAAACUCUCUAUCAUGCAUGCAAAAGAUGAUGAUUUCACUACGCAGUAAACCCAUGGUAGCUCAACAACUGGUUGUGUGCUUUAUAGCAUUUGGUUAAGUUAAUCCUCUCAUAUCAGUUUCAUGCAUGCUAGAACCUCUGUAGUUUCAUCGAUCUUGCUUCUUAUGAAUUCGUUGCAACUUCUUAACUCGAUUUGUGAAUUGGGGAUGUACCUGUGGUUCUUGAAUCCAGAGCUAUCGGACUAAUGGUUUGUAGUAUGAAUUGGCUGUUUCGGUUAACUUGAUUGUGCAAAUUGGUUUACAUACAGAUCAAUGGAUCGCUUGCAAGGAGGGCAAUCAGGGAACUCAUGGCAAAAGGAUUGAUCAGGAUGGUGUCUGCACAUUCAAGCCAGCAGAUUUACACUAGGGCUACAAACGCCUAGGUUUUCAACGUCUUAGCACCUUGAAUGUUCCCCCAGAGAUGGAAUCAGUCGGUAGUUUCUCAGAGUUGCUGAGUUAUUGCUUUACAUGUAUGGAGUGAUAUGCGGGGAAUUUUGGUCUUAAUGUACACCUUGAAUGUUUGGAAUUUACCAUUUUUGUUCGAUGAGGUUAGUACAUCUUUGGGUUGGGAAUGGCAAAUCCUAUGAAUUAGGAAUGACAAUGGGUUGAGUUUUGAAUAUGGGAGGUCGUUCCCAUGUUCAUUACUGGGUUGUUGGUCAAGCAAGUUUGAUCCAAAUUGGUUAAUGACCUACUAGGUGUUCGAUUGCGAAUCGAGUUAUCUUGUAUGAAUUGUUUUCCUUAUCGAACAUGCCAAGUUGCCAACUUGUCAUCCUUAGAUGAUUCAAAUGCUACGGUUAAAUUCACAUCAAAAUAACCUAAACGAACAAACGAUUCUAAUCUAACAAAGGGGUUGCGGGCAGAUGACUCGAAUUACACUUCUAGAUUUCUGUUCCGCAAAUAACCAAACCGAAUGAUGAAGCAUGUUGACUCAGGGCCGGCCCAGCCCAGCCCAUCUCCGGCCAAAAACUCGCUUCUCCCGUAAACCCCCAAAUUUUAUUAUUUUGAGAAAGUAAACCCCAAUUUCGUAUUACCUAAAGAUAGCCUUUCACCUUCUUCUCCGAGGCGAUUUUGUUCACUUGCAGUUCUUCGAUUCACUACCUCCACCACCAGAUGGCCCGUAUCGCCGUCGCUAGGUCUUGUCGACUGAAGCCAAGGCUGUAUCCAACUCUUCUCACCACACCCGCUGAACUAGCCUCCGUGGAUCCUCCACCUCACGUGCCUAAACCUCCGCCGAAUCAUGAAUCUUCUGAGAAAAUAACGCUGCUGUUGAUGUCCUCAAGGGAAUGAUUGGGCUGAGCAUACCAACAGAGGCAGGGCAUUUUGGUGUUUUGAUAAAGAACUUGUGCAAGGCAGGAGAGUUUGAUAGGGCGGUCAAGUUGUUGGAGAAGCUUAUUGAGAAGGAAAUAAUUUUGAGGCCUCGGAGUUCUUUAGAAAUGGAAGACAGUGCGUAUAAUCCGAUCAUUCAGCAUCUAUGUGGCAAUGGACAUACAAAAAAGGCAGAAACUUUUUCAGACAGUUGAUGAAGAAGGGCGUGCAGGAUCCAGUUGCAUUCAAUAAUUUAGUAUGCAGGCAUGCAAAAGAAGGAUUUCCUGAUUCUGCUUUUGUAAUACUAGAAAUAAUGGGUCGGAGAGGUGUCCCCCGAAAUUCAGAAGCGUACGGUUUGGUGAUAGAGAGUUAUUUGACUAAAGGCGAGCCUUCUGAUGCCAAGACAGCACUGGACAGUGUGAUUGAAGAAGGGCAUGUUCCAGAUUCUGUGUGAGAAAGGCAAGACUACUAUUGCUGCUAAAAAGGUGCUGGAUUUCGCACUGGAGAGGGAUGUUCAACUCGACUUCAAAAGCUACGACAAGGUGUUGGAUGCACUCCUUGAAGCAGGGAACUCGAACUGGUUAGAUCCAAUUUUCCAUUCGGAAAUGAUGAAUGACCUACUAAGUAAGUGUCUUGUCUGCAAAGAAUCGUUUUCUUCAUUCAAUAUCGCAAAUCGUCAUCUUGAUUCUGCCCAAAUGAAUGUGGAAUGUUUUUGAGUAAUGACCAGGUGACGCGGCUAGGAAUCUGAGGGUCGCUCUUGAUUGAAUCUGAAUCGAACCCAUUUCAUAUUUCGAAAACAUCAAAGAUCACAUCUUGGUUAUUUCCCUUAUGGGAACUCGAACUAUUGUUGUUGGCAUUAUGCUUUUUGGCGUUGAAACCCCAAUGGCAACAAACCCAUGUGAAGAAAAAUGGUUACCUUUCCAAUACUUGUACGGAUAGUCAUCAUCUUCUCCUUAAUGUCGUCUUCUUCUUCUCCCCCUAUUUGAUUCUUCUCCGACAAGACCCAUCUGCCUCCAUUCUUCUUUCCGACUCCCUUGUCUUCUUCCUGUCGUCGGGGAAGGAAAUGGUGUUCUUUAAGGAGUUUUAGCCACACCACUAUCAACGCCAAUUUCACGGGACAUUCAAAUUCCGAUAUAUCUCGACCGCAAUGACGCUACAUAUAUAUUGAAUUAUUUUGUUUAUUGGUCGUGAACUCGCCUUCGAUAUCCACGCAAAUCCACCACACCAAAUCGAAGAUAAUCCAUUAAAGUUCAGAGUAACACCGUAAAUUUGUACCGACAUAUUUUAAGUGGUGCCCACUAAUAAUACCAACACAAAUAUCUACAACAUACAUCAUAAAUUACAAUUGUUCAAUCUUUAUCAAACUAUGCUGUUGGGACACGUGUGCGGCGGAGAAAGAUGUCACCAGACAUGAGUGAAUGACCAAUCACCAAAUCAGCAACUUUAGGGCUUGGAGGGAUGUCCCAAAAAAACAGCACCAGCUUCACUCUUCCCGCAUUAUCGGAUUAGUACAUCAAUUCCCUAAUAGCAAGCCAACAAGCUCGUGUGUCCUUGUCACUCACUCAUUGCACCACCCACCAUUCCAACUAUAGCUUCAUACAUACCCUUCUUAGUGUCACGGAGUCGGAUAAAUCCGAUUAAUUUGGGGGAUUCCAGGUAUCAGUCUGAUGGAGUUUAUCGUUGGUUUUGCUAAUACAUUAUUGUGUAAAUAACUGGAAUGGAGGACGUAUAGAUGAUAUUACUAGUGGAAUUUGUACCAUCCAACCUAAAGAAAUUUAGGCGAUCCAUAGGAAUAAGUUGAAGUCUUGUGGGGAAUAGAACUAACCAUUUGAAUCAAAAUUUUGUCUUUCAAGAAACAAAAUAUGCAACAUUAUUCUUAUCAAAGUAGAAUGAUUAGGGUUUGUGAGAUUUGGUAGAGGCAGAGAGGUCAUGUGGGCCUAGUGAGAAGAAGGCACAUGAUGGUGGGCUUUCUCUAUGACAGUUUUGAAUGAGAGCCGUCCGUUUUGAGUUUAGGCAACAUGUGUGUCCAAACUCUUAAAUUUACAAUCGAUAAUAGUUUGUUUUUAUUUGUACGGAAAUAAAAAGAUAACAAGUACACAUAAUAAUUAUUUAUAUUGAUAAUAAUACUUAUAAGAGAUAUCUAAGAGUAGUAAGACGUGUCACUGAAUGGACGGUUUUGUUAAUUACAUGAUUGACGAGUAGUGUGAAGACAGAUGUUCGGCAUGAUUGUCAGGUGGUCCCGGAUCUCUUUGAUGAUAUCAGACGUGUCACUAAAUGGACGGCUCUCUUACGUGACCGACGAACAGUCUGAAAACGAGUCUCGGACGCGGGGGCGAGGAGUUGGAUCUCUCACUAGGUUGUUGAUGAAUCCGUAAAAACAUAAGUGGUGCGUAGCACCUCCGACAAAAGUGCGAGCAAUUUGAAGUUGAAGCAUCAUAUAUGAUAUCGGUACCCGCUUCCUGAAGUCGUAAGAUCUUCAACAUCAAUAUAGUUGGUUCUUCAUCUUAUUACUUCAUAUAUCUUGUACGAUCAUUUAUAGCGAAGGGCUUUGUUCUCUAAUGUUGGAUCAUGGAUGUAUAGUAACCCUAUUUUUGUAUCCAUGAAUAUUAAUCAUGAGUUGAAUUCGUUUAUAUAACUCAUAAGCAAGUUAUGAACAAUGAAAUGCAUAUUAAGAUGGUGAUUUUUUUUUCAAUUACAGAGAACAAUCCAAUAGUUGAAACGAUUCAACUAAUAAGCUCAACUCCAAUCUUUACUCUAAAUAAAAAGUUUAAUUGUAGUAACUAACAGUCCAACUCAUAUUCUGGAAUUGUUUACGGUGGAGAUGAGCUAUGGUGUCGUUUUCAAUUGCCCCUUUCUCUCUGCAAAAUCCAUGCAACAGUCUCACAGCUAUAUAGUCAAUCAAUUUCCUUUACUACUUCUCCAAUGCUUGUCAAUUUAAAGAAAGAAAUACCAAUAACUCCAAAUUGCAGGAUUUCUCGUGAUUUGCAGCAGCUCACAUGGCUUUCCUCCUAUAAAGGAAAGGAAAAGGAAGAGCCAUUGAACCCUUCACAAACCCUCUCAGAGAAUUCACGCAUUUCCAUCUCUUGUUCACAUUCAAUAAAAGAGUUCGAUUCUUCUUCCAUUCCGUUUCAGUAAAAGAAUUGAGGUAAGUUUUUUAAAGUUGUAGUGUCCUUAUGAACUUCUGUAUUCUGGGUAUGGAUCAAAUGAAACGUACCUAGAAAAGGUUGUUUCACCAUUUCUUGUUUCUAUCGAUCCAUUCUGCCUAGUGUUCAGUCAGUUUCUCCAUUUUCAUGCCAUUUAACAAUUUUGAGCUUGUGGACUCUCUGUGUAAGUUAAAGUUGUAACCUUUAUGAACUUCUGCAAUCUGGGUACGGAUGGAGGAGCAAUGCAGAACCAAGAGCAGUUUCACCAUUUUUGUGUUUAAAUUUAUUUCGUUUUGUUUUCUCACUCACUUUAUGUAAUCUGCACUUUAACUCAAGUUUCUUCGUUUUUAGAGCUGAUUUUUUUUUUCUAUCUGGGGAUUCGUUCCCUUUGCCUUAAAUCUUCGGACCCGUGAUCCAAUUUUCCACUUCUGGGUUUUUAGGCUCAGAGCUCUUCUUCCUCUGCAGAUGGGUUCCUGCUGCGUGGCGUUGGAAGCCAGUAACCUUCUGGUGAACAGAGAGCUGAGGAUUUCACACUCGCCGAAUGAUCCUUUCACUCGGUUGAAGUUUGAGAAGAAGCAGAAGAAGAGCAUCAAUAAGUCGAAAUCUCGUUUAGUCUCUUCAGUCUUGACUUCCAGUAAUGGCAGAGGAACUGUGGUAAGUUAUGAUCCAAGCUGUUUCUCUUAGUGGUCCUUUCAGUUUCUUUUUGUAAUGGAUGGUCAUUUAUUGUUGAUUGAUGGAGUCUGACGGAUUGAACAUUCAUGAGCAACUAAACUAAGUUCAAACCUUAUACGGGGUCACGGGGUCAGUAGUUUGGCCGAACUAAUCAGUUUUGUCCGUGUCGGUAGAUGGUUUGGGUUAAUCUGGUAGCUUGUUUCUGAUCACCGUAAUUGGUAUCAUCACACAACAUAGUAGUUGAUAUCUCUUAGCUUGGCAUCGCCUCAGACAUACUCUUCUCGCAAAGGGGAGCUGGGUUAACAAAUCCAUGUGUUCCUGCGUUCGUAUUUUUGUUCGUGAUUGCGUUUUAUUCCAUACAAUGUAGACCUUACAACCAGAGCCAAGGCCAGAUAGGAACAGAGUGGAUCCAAAAGAUGUGGCUUCCAUAAUACUGGGAGGAGGUUCUGGUGCUCAGCUGUUUCCUCUAACCAAAAGGACUGCAACUCCAGCUGUAUGUCUGUGUUUUAAUUUUCUCCAUAACAAUGAGAUUUGGUUAUGGUUUUUUACUUGGGCUUUUGUUUCUGUAUGGUUUUGAUCUUACUAGGUACCAAUAGGAGGAUGCUACAGGCUGAUUGAUGUGCCUAUGAGCAACUGCAUCAACAGUGGGAUCAACAAGAUCUUCGUCCUUACCCAGUUCAACUCGACAUCCCUCAAUAGACACAUAGCUCGCGCCUACUUUGGCAACGGCAUCAACUUCGGAGACGGAUUUGUUGAGGUUCUGGCCGCCACUCAAACCGCCGGACAAGCAGGAAUGAAGUGGUUCCAAGGAACUGCAGAUGCUGUCAGGCAAUUUACAUGGGUGUUUGAGGUGAAAUAAUUUCGUCGAAAAAUAAACCGCAAAGAUCCUCUCUUUCUAUACCGAAGACUGAUUAUUUUUCCUUAUCCUUGGUCGUAGGAUGCCAAGACCAGGAACGUAGAGAACAUCAUAAUCUUGUGCGGCGAUCACCUUUACCGUAUGGAUUACAUGGACUUCGUUCAGGUAAAAAUCGAUCUUAACAUUCUUCAUGCUCUAAUGUUUUACGGCAAGACCGGUUUUUUCACAAUGUGCAUGAAAACAGCACCAUGUUGAUAGCAAUGCGGAUAUCACCAUUUCGUGUGCUGCUGUGGGCGAAAGGUACGGACUUCAUCUUCGUUCUUCUUUGCUUUGAUAUGUUCUUUACGUUCCGGUCUAAAUGUUCUUUUGGUGGAUUGGUUCUGCAGCCGUGCAUCAGAUUACGGAUUGGUCAAGUUAGACAGCAAAGGUAGAAUUAUCCAGUUUGCUGAGAAACCAAAGGGUGCUGACCUAAAAUCAAUGGUGAGUUCUGAUUUCUAAAUCAGGAUACUAACUUCGUUGCGGGAAAGUGAUUUGUGUUAUAUUUGGCAGCAAGUGGAUACGACUCGGAUAGGUUUGACUCCGCAGAAAGCGAAGCAGUCGCCAUUUAUCGCUUCGAUGGGAGUUUACGUGUUUAAAACCGACAUGCUGUUGAAGCUCCUGAAGUGGAGGUUUCCUACAGCAAAUGACUUUGGCUCUGAGAUCAUCCCUGCAGCAGUUAUGGAGCAUGAUGUCAAUGCAUACAUCUUUCGAGACUACUGGGACGAUAUUGGAACGAUCGAUUCGUUCUACCAAGCUAACUUAGCUCUCACCGAAGAGGUAAGGAUUUCCAACAAAUCGAUUGAUUUGUUCGUGGGGUUGAAGAAAUUAUAACCUGUUAACUGUGUGUGCAGCCUCCAAUGUUUGAGUUUUACGACCCUCAAAAACCGAUUUACACAUCUCCAACGUUCUUGCCGCCAACCAAGAUCGAUCAAUCUCGGGUAUGCAACUUGGAUCGGAGCUUGAUAUAGUGUUGUUGCUUUCUCGUUGAUGUAUUCAUCUGUCGGUUCUUUGUUGCAGAUUGUAGAUGCAAUAAUCUCCCACGGUUGUUUCUUGAGAGAUUGUUCUGUCCAGCAUUCGGUUAUUGGUGAGCGAUCUUGUCUGGAUUCUGGUGUUGAGCUAGCGGUGAGUUUGCCUGAAAUAUGUUCUUAAGAGCAUUUUUUCCCGAUUUCACAACGAGAUGCAUGAAUGGCUCUCAACAUCUUUGAUCUCCAUUUUUUUACAGGAUACUGUGAUGUUAGGAGCAGAUUACUAUCAAACCGAAGCUGAAAUAGCAUCUCUUCUGGCAGAUGGAGGAGUCCCAAUUGGCAUAGGGAAGAACACCAAAAUCAGGUAAAGAAAUCAACUUUAACUUUUGCAACUUAGACAAAUGAUCGUCCCGAAUCUGAAAUGAAUCCGACUCUUGCAGGAAGUGCAUUAUCGAUAAGAACGCGAAGAUAGGGAAAGACGUGAUGAUCGUCAACAAAGAUGUAAGUUCUCAGCCAAAAAUUGUCUUUCUCUGUCAUGCCGCCUGUUAUCUGAACGAAAGCUGUUGCCUUGCAGGGUGUAGAAGAAGCUGACAGGCCAGAACUAGGGUUCUACAUUCGAAAAGGGAUCACCAUUGUAGCAGAGAAGGCGACAAUCGAAGAUAGAACUGUCAUAUAAAACAUAAAUCCACACUUCGACAGUUAGAAAAAUGGUUCCAAUUCAGAUAUAUCGCUGCAGAUGGUUGAAACCCAGAAACAGAAGACACAAACUGCAACAUCAUCUACAUGUAACGUAAAAGAAACGAAGCUUCUUCCUUCUCACAUAAAAGUUGGGAUCUUUUCGGUCCUACAAGUCAAGUUAGAAGAGCAGAACUAUAGUAAAGGCAGCUUUUCAUAGUUUAUGUCGAUAAAAAGUUGUUUAAGAUUAGCCUUUCUGGAAAAGUUGGUAUCUUCGUGUAUGGGAUAUGAACAAUAAGUUACAUAACAAGACUGCAGAAUCUUGUACUGUUACCUCUUUUUUCAGAUGGAUAAUGUAAUAUUAUUAAUACUAACCAAACCAGUUAAACUUGAAUCAGCCAACGGGCUGAUAAUCACACUUACAAACAGAUCCUACGAAACAAAGAGAUUCAGUGGGCAUGGAAUGGCAAUUUAUUGCACAAAGAUUGUCCAUUUCCAUUGCUAACUCCAUAAUAGAACUAGCAUUUUGGUUGAACUGCAAGCCGACUUGAAAUCUCCAAAGCAUUGCUCUCGUAGAUGAACAAUUCACAAAGGCAACUGUGAGAUUAUGGUUCAGGUACAUACUUGUUGGAGCUGUACACUUAAUGUGAUCCUUUCUCGAACAGAGCAAUUCCUGAUCUUGAUGAUGACGAAUCACAUUGCGAAGUUUCGAACACGUAAGCUGCAUUGUUGAGUUCUUAAUGCACUUAGCUUGCUUUGUUAAUUCCACAGACUUAAGUUUUUGGGAUAGAUCUCUUCUCAAUAGCCCUUGGUACUCCAAACUAUAAGACAUCCCCUUUUCCUGAACUCACAAGGUUGAAAACCAGUCAUGGCCUUUCCCAUGAGUGCCAUAGCAGCUAUACUCGGAAACUGCUUCUCCGGUACUUCACCUGAUGUUCCCUUUCCGACUCGAGAUUCGCUAGCCAUCACACAAUCAGCUUUCCUUCUCAGGGAAGAAGCAACUGGGUUACGAGACCAUCGUCGAAUCCAAGGAUGCGAGUGGGCUUCGACGACGUCAUGAGCUUUCUCCUCAGAAUCGGUGGAAGUAGAUUCAGCAUUCCUUUCUGACAAUACUGUAGUAGGGCAAUCAAAUCCCGGAAGAUCAUUUCCAAUGGGAUCACUUAUCAUUUUGGUGAAGACUCCAUUCACUUUUCCAUGAGAGGCUUCCCCUAAGUCUGAACCUUUAGAACCGUAGGUGUAGGGCAAGAGUGCUGGAGCACUUGGCUUGAGACGUCUUACCCAUCUACUACAUGGAUCGAGCCUGACAGGGUCGGGACAAGCCCUUGACUUCAGAUUUCUGGAGUUUCCAGGAUGAGUGAGCAAGCAUUCCACAUCCAGACUUUGUGUUAUUGACGUGCUCGUCUCCUUAUCAUCUGCUGUCCCAGAUACAUCAGGAUGUAGACAAACCUCUUUGUUUAUAUCGGGUAACAGCUUUUUCACCAUUCUACCCGUAACUUCUUGGCCGACUGAAGCGAUUAGAUCUUGAGAUAUAGGUGAUGGUAAAUUUACCUUACUUGAUGGACGUGAAGCCAAACCUGAAAACAAAACAUCCACAAAGCUUCCUCAGUAUUUGAACAUAGAACAUCCUUGUAGUCUUCAGUGAUAGAUAUCAUACUUCAUAUCCAUACUAAUGGGAGUCGAUAAUAUAAUAUUCGCAAUAAUGGACGUACCAAGAAGUUGGUUAUGUCUGGCAGCAUCGAUGUCCAUAGUGUUGGUCUCGGAGGAUGAUCCGUUCUUUGAAUCAUGUAGGAAACUCUUGAUAGUUUCAGUGUCUUCUUUGCCCUCGCAUUCUGCGGAACUGUCAAGUUGUUGCAGCUUCACUCCUUGGUUAUUACGAGAGUGAUCAUCAGGUUUUAAACCGAACAAUUCACAUAACGAUUUUCCUUUGAACUUUGUGGAUACUGACGACUGUUGGAACAUCUGACCUUCAUCCAUAUCAGUCUUCUUUGUGAUGAAAAAGUGGUGAGUUGUAUGUGAAACCUUUGCACAACCGGCAGGAAAUUCUGUGAUGGAAUCGACAGUUGUACGUAUUCUCAUAGCCUGCACACCGUGUGCAGAAGAAGAGGGCAUUCCUGUUAUACUGUGAGAGCUACGAAAUGCCUCUUCGGUAGGGCCACUCUGGAAGGGAAAAUGAUCCGGAAGAGGCAUCAUCUCAGCAGCAAAGCCUCUUGAUUCAUUCUUGCUGGUUGAAGAGUCAUGCACCGAAAGAGCUCCACCGAAACUGAUCUUGUUCGAGCGAUCCCAAGAUGAAUUUCCCGCUUGAUUCGAAUUGUCUUCUACACGGGAAGCACAUUGCACUCUAUUCCUCCUGCUGUCAAAUUCAUAUGGAACAACCUGAGGACUGGCACCCGAAAGGUAGCCUCGUGAAGGAAAAACACCGACCCCAUUCCUCUGAGGUAGAAGUGGAGUUCCCAUUUCGCUGUUACCAACCAAUGCAGCAGAACCAGGCAAGUGGCUCUCAACUCUACUCGAAGAAGCAUCCAACCGAGAAAUAUCAACUCUCUUUUUCACUGGAGGCAAAGCAAUCUCCUCGUCCAGCGAAACACCUAGCAUGAGAUAAGGCUGACCUUCAGACGGCUCGUUCCUUAACCUCUCCAACCCGUCCCUCGUACUCGUACUACUCCCACACACAAAAUCUGCCAUCUUCCGCUUCCCCACAUCUCGAUACCGGUCUCCACCCUCGGAUCCUUUCCCAGAAAGAUCAAAUAGACGGUGAUACUUCACUCCAUGAUGAAUCUCUUCACUCACCUCAUUAGUCACUGAAGUUGCUGCUGCUUCAUUUCCCACCCUACAAUUCCUACCCAACCAAUGACCAAUCCAUGAAGACUGAGACCCACCACUUCCAGACAUCUCAUCCUUCCCGUUCGACAUUACAACACUGAAAAUUCAAGUCAACACAGUAACAAAAGGAAAAAUUCAUCAUCUGUCACCUGAAAGAUGCAAAAUUUAACCAACCCAAAAUUCUGAAAGCUCAAACAAUGACAGAAAAACAAAACAAAUCCAUGCAGAGAAAAUGAAAACCCAGAUUCUAAAUUCUCUCUCCAUCUACUGAUAGAGCUAACGAAGUCAAAUCCCAGUCCCACAAACAUUUAAAUGAAGCUACCGCUUACCUGAAUGGAUCGAAGAGAAGAUGGAAUUAUUCUUCCCUACAACUUUCGGGAGGAUAUGAAUUCCUAAUUCAGCUUCUGAAUCGGAUGAGAAAGAAGAGGAAAUGAAUCCAUGGCUGAACCAGGCGUGAGAGCUUGAGCUGCUCCCUGGUACCCUUUUUUGUUCUGGUGUCUUUUUGCUUUCUCUUCAGUUUCUUUUUGGAUUAUGACUAAAAUGGCCCCUAUACUAUUACAAAUUAACAAUUGAGCCCUUAUAUUAUUUUCUUUCUAAUCAAACUCCUACAUUUUUCUCAAACCAUCAAAUAAGCCCCUUCUUGUUUUUUUGGCAAUUGUGAUGAUUUAACACGUCCAGUUGAACGUUUUGCUAAUGUGACAUUUAUUGAUUUUUAUUAAUUAUUAAUUAGUUAGGUUUUAAAUUUAACAAAAAAAAUAUUAUAAAGAAAAAAUAGAGUGGGAGAAAAAAGAGUUGUAGGCCGAUUAGAAUUAAACAAUCCAUCUCCUAAACAAAAUAAAAUUAUAUUUUUUAUACUUCUCCAAAUAAAAUCAAAUAAUUCUCUACAAUAAAAGAUCAAACUUUUUGAAAAAAAUUUUCUUAAACGUGUAAACAAGAAAUAUGAAUUUUUUUUUAUAAUCUGCUUCAAUUGACAAACACAUAUCAUGGUGCCAAUUGAAGCAAAUUAUAAAAAAUAAAUUCAUAUUUUUUAUUGAAACGUUCAAGAGAAAUUCUUUCAGAAAGUUUAAUUUUUUAAUCGUAGAGGAUUAUCUAAUUUUAUUUGGAGGAGUAUAAGAAAAAAUAUGAUUUUAUUCCUUUUCAGGAGAUGAAUUGUUUAAUUCUAAUCGGCUUAUAACUCUUUUUUCUCUCAUCCUAUUUUUUCUCCAUAAUAUCUUUUUUUUGUUAAUUUUAAAACCUACUUAAUUAAUAAUUAAUAAAAAAUCUCAAUCAACAAGUGUCAUGACAGCAAAACGUUCAACUGAACGUGUUAAUUCAUCACAACUGCUCGAAAAAAAAGAAGGGACUUACUUGAUGGUUUGAAAAAAGUGUAAGGAUUUGAUUAGAAGGAGAAAUAACAAAAAAGUUCAAUUGUUAACUUGUAAUAAUAUAGGAGCCAUUUUGAUUAUAAUCCCUUUUUUCUUUGACCUCUCCUUUAUUGUGAAUUUUUAAUUUUAUUGUUAUAAGUAAUAAUUGAUGGGCUCUCAGACAGCCACAGAUGCGGAGGGCCCACCAAUUAGAAGAAUGGGCCCCCAUUUCCCACUUGCAAUUAUGGGGUCAUUUCCGAUUUUUUUUCCCCGUGAAGAGAUAUUUUCUCGUACUAAAAAAUAUGCUUUUAUUGGAUUUCAAAAAGAAAAUUGCUUUUAUUUUUCUUCAUACGUUGUACCUCGACGGUAUGGGCAUGAGGGACACCGGAUCACUUUUCUUUUUGGGAUAUUUGUGGAUAUUUAUCAAUAUGGAUCGGUAGAUUUACGAUCGGAAGUAAUGUUAGAUUGAUAUUACAAUUUGUUUUUAUUUGAAUUCGAAAUAGAUUAUGAUUAAAAAAAAUAUUCAUAGUGAUGUAUGUAAUUCCUAGUUUCAUUGGUAUAAUGGCAAGUACCAAGCUAUAAAAGGAUCAUCUCAGGGAUAUUUUUUCGAAAUAAAUUGUUUGAUAUUAAUUGUGAGGUAUUUUUUCUUUUUAGUGAUUAAAAAUCCACAAACAAAAAAAUAAUUGAUAAUAUUUUUUUUUUGGGAGGAGACAAAACUUUAAUUCAUUAAAAUUCGAGGUAUUGAAUUUGGUUAGAGCGAUCAGAUAUAAAUUGUGAUAGUGUGAUAAAUCUAUAUAAAUCUACUUAAUUAAGAUGGAAAAUGAGUAACGGUAAUUAUUCACUAAACUACACCAAAAAUGGAUAGUUUAUAUAAUCUUUAGAUGGUAAUGUUUGAAUUAAACUUAAAUUUAGAUGGAUAUUUGUUAUUUUGAAACUCGUUAACAAGCUCAUUAUCACUUUAACCAGAAAGUCAUGAGUUUCAAUAUUAUUAUUUUUUUUUUGGGAGGAGACAAAACUUUAAUUCAUUAAAAUUCGAGGUAUUGAAUUUGGUUAGAGCGAUCAGAUAUAAAUUGUGAUAGUGUGAUAAAUCUAUAUAAAUCUACUUAAUUAAGAUGGAAAAUGAGUAACGGUCAUUAUUUGGCCACAAUAAAAAAUUGUCAUCUCAAAAGAAUUUGUACUUGAAGUAGGAAUAAAGUUAAGAUGAAUUAAACCGUUUGAAAAGUGGCAUAAGUAAUCGAGUCUCAAAUGAUAUCAAAAUAGUUUAAAAAUUUAUGAAUGUUAAAUAUACAUACCAUUUUGUCAAUAUGAAAACUGAAGAGUGACCUACAUAGUAAUUCUAGAUCGAUGACUGAACACCUCUCAUGUUUGUAAUUUUUCCUCGUUCGAUAUAAAAGACAUCAACCGAAAUAUAAUCUUCAGAAAAACCCUAAACCCUUUACUCCCAACUGCGCCACGGCAAAUCUCCAGCCAUGGGUAAGGUGAAAGGUAAGCAUCGUUUGGACAAGUACUACCACCUCGCCAAGGAGCACGGCUACCGUUCCCGUGCCUCGUGGAAGCUCGUCCAGCUCGAUUCCAAGUUCAAGUUCCUCCACUCUUCCCGCGCCGUCCUCGAUCUCUGCGCCGCCCCCGGAGGAUGGAUGCAGGUCGCCGUCGAGAAGGUCCCCGUUGGGAGUCUGGUGCUAGGUAUCGAUUUGGUGAGGAUCGCUCCUCUCCGUGGCGCGUUAUCGAUCGAGCAGGAUAUUACCAAGUCCGAGUGCAGGUCGAAGAUUAAAAAGAUUAUGGGGGAUAAUGGGGUGAAGGCGUUUGAUUUGGUUCUUCACGAUGGUUCUCCCAAUGUCGGCGGUGCUUGGACGCAGGAGGCCAUGUCGCAGAAUGCUUUGGUUAUCGAUGCACUGAAGUUGGCUACACAAGUGUUGGCUCCCAAGGGGAAUUUCAUCACUAAAGUGAGCUUGCGUUUUUUGUUACUGUUUGAAAAUUUUGGAAUGCGAGAUCAAGGAUUAGGAUGGUUUUUAUCCGCUUAGUUGCUAAUUUGCUAUUGAUGCUAUUAUAUGAGUCAUUGGUUGGUUGGAACUUACAAGUUAGUGAUGAUUCGUUGGAAGUGUUAACCUUGAUGCCCAUGUGGUUUUCGUUGUUGUAGGUGUUCAGGUCACAAGAUUACAGUGCGGUUAUCUACUGUUUAAAUCAGGUGAAUGACAAAAUUAAAGAUGGGGGUAGAGCGUAGAUCGUUUGCUUAUCAUGUGGUUCUGAUUAUCUUACUUGUGCUUUCAGUUCUUUGAGAAGGUUGAGGUUGAUAAACCAUUAGCCAGUCGUUCAGCGUCUGCAGAAAUAUUUGUGCUGGGGCUUAAGUACAAAGCACCUGCAAAGAUUGACAAUGACCUGCUCGAUAUUAGGAAGCUGUUUGCGCAUGUUGAUACACAAAGAAAGGUAGCUGUGAAUUAGAGAUGUUCAGUAUUUUCAUUUUAAUCGUCCUUGAAACCGUCUUUUUAGUUUGAAGUAUAUUCGCAUUCUUGUCUGAAUAAAAUUCUUAAUUGCAGCCUCUAGAUCCCCUCAGAGGAACAAAGCAAAAACGUCAUCGUGACGGGUAAGGAAAUCUCAAUUUAUCUGGCUGUUUAAUUUGUGCAAGGAACAUUCAGAAUGUAGUUCAAAUGUGUAGUUGCUGGGUGCCCAUAUAAAAUCUCACUGACUUCAAUUUUUGUUUGGAAAAUUUCAGUUAUGAAGACGGACAGUCUAUGAUCCGGAAAGUCUCAUCAGCUGCAGAUUUUAUCUGGUCCAACACCCCUCUUGAUGUCCUUGGCUCAGUUACUUCAAUCACCUUUGAGGACCCUGUAUCCUUGCCGAUAAAGGAUCAUGAGUUGACAACGGAAGAGGUGUCAUAGCUAUGCUUCCUUUGGUAGUCCACUUUGUGGGUGCUUUUCCUGAGUGAUCUUCAUUUGAAUAAUUUCUUCUAUGGCCAGGUCAAAGCCCUUUGUGAGGAUCUUCCUGUGUUGGGGAAGCAAGAUUUCAAGCAUCUUCUCAAGUAAGAUUUCAUGUUUAUUGAAAAAAAAUUAUCACAUCAGAAGGAACAUCUUUGUACAAUGAAGCAAAAUAGAGGAAUUUUUGAAUUAAAUCUAAGUUUCUUCCGAACUACCAUGCUGUGCUUCAAACUUAUCCUUUUCAAUUUAUGUAUCAUGCAGAUGGCGGAUGAAUUUAAGGAAGGCGCUGUCCCCUUCUGAAAAAGCUAGCUCUGCUGCUGCUGCUGACAGUGAGGAAAAGAAAGAAUUAGAUGAAGACGAUAAGAUGCUUAAUGAAAUGGAGGAGUUAACAAAGGCUAUGGAGCGGAAGAAGAAAAGAGAGAAGAAAAUAUCUGCUAAAAGACGGGAAAAGGUUAGUAAACUCUCGAAUCUACGAAAAGACGGGAAAAGGUUAGUAAAUAUCUGCUAAAAGACGGGAAAAGGUUAACAAAGCCUGUUCAUGAAGGCUUGCAAACUCUCGAAUCUACUAGCCAUCAGAUUAUGUGAAUAGGCCUGCUUCUUGCAGUAGUUCUUUAGUUAAUAAGGUCUCCAAUAUGAGGUUUUUUUCGCUGACAUUGAUGUUGUUAAUUUAAUUCCUGUUGUAUUCUCAGGACAAGGCCCGGAAAGCAUCUGGAGGAAUGCCAAUGGAUGUACAUGAAGAUGGUGGCUACACUGAUAUCGAGUUAUUUUCUCUUGCAUCAAUUAAGGUUAGUUAAAUACUUAACACAUUUCUCGUACGCUUUCCCUGCGUGUAAACUUUUUUCGAAUGAGGUCUCAAUGCAUGCCUCUUCUCAGCCAACUGCUGAAGGCACGACUAACCCUGAUUUUGAUUUGUAACCACUCAGGGAAAGAACGAUUUGGUUGCUAUAGAUAAUGAUGAGAAUGGUGACGCGAGGGAUAGUGACGAGGAGGAAAACCCUGACAAUGAUGCUCGGGAGUCAUCUGCCGAUUCAGAUUCGGAUGCAGAGCGUCAAAAGUAACUUUCAAUCCUUAUGUAUCUUCAAUCAAUCGAUAAGCAACUGUUUAUUAUAAUUACUCGUGUGGCUUUUUGUGUGUAGAUAUGAUGCUACAAUGGAGGACUUCCUCGACAAUCUCUAUGAACGGUUUGUAACCAAAAAGGAAGGAAGUACAAAGCAGAGGAAACGUGCAAGGCAAGCCUACUCCGAGCAGCUCUUGGAUGGGGAGAACGACAAUAUGGAGCACUCAGAUUAUGAUUCGGACAGGGAGCCGGCCGAUCGCGAAGCAAAUCCUCUCAUGAUUCCACUCAACGACGGCGAAGAACCGACAAAAGAAGAAAUUGCAAACAAAUGGUUCGCUCAGGAAAUAUUCACCAAAGCUGCCGAGGAAGAGGAUCUGGUCAUGUCUGACAGCGAGCAAGAGGAUGCCCCCGCGACGGAGGCCGCUGUGAUGGAGGUAGAUAAGAAGCAGCAAGAGAAACGGGUUGCUCCCAAGAAGGCUGCGGUAAAAACUAGUGAACCCGAUUUUGAGAUUGUUCCUGCCCCUGAAACUGAUUCUUCUGAUUCGUCCUCGGACGAAUCAGAAGACGACAGCAUCGAGAAGAAGGCCGAGAUACUGGCGUGUGCGAAGAAGAUGCUGAGAAAGAAACAAAGAGAGCAAAUGCUCGACGACGGGUACAACAAGUACAUGUUUGACGACGAGGGCUUGCCUGGGUGGUUCCUCGAGGAAGAGAGGAGGCAUCGCCAGCCUGUCAAACCGGUCACCAAGGAGGAGAUGAACGCAAUGCGGGCCCAGUUCAAAGAGAUCAACGCACGGCCCGCUAAGAAGGUGGCCCAGGCCAAGGCUCGAAAGAAGCGUGCCGCCAUGAGGAAGCUGGAGAAAGUCAAGAAGAAGGCCAACGCGAUCUCAGACCAGACCGAGAUUUCCGAGCCCUCGAAGAGCAAGAUGAUCGAUAAGCUGUACAAGAACGCUGCUCCAAAGAGGCCGAAGAAGGAGUAUGUAGUUGCGAAGAAGGGGGUCGCUGUGAAGGGUGGCAAGGGGAAAGUUGUAGUGGAUCGGAGGAUGAAGAAGGACGUCCGUGGAGUUAGCAAGAAAGGCAAAGGUGGCUCGAAGAAGAACGGUGGUAAGGGCCAGAAAGGCGGUAAUGGCGGUAAAGGAUCUGCAAGCAAAGGCGGUAAACCGAGACCCGCUGAUAAGGAAACAAAGAGAGGAUCUGCUCGACCGAGGUCGUUUUGACAAAUCUUUUUCUUAAACCUUCACUAGAAGGAUGAGUUGUUGCUAAUCCAGUUUUGUGCUUUUUUUUUGUUUUCAUUUCCCUUCUGAAAAACUUUGCAGUAACGUUAUAUCUUUGAACACACUUUCAGUAAUGAAGUUCAAUUGAUCUAUCUUAUACCUUGCUUUCUUAGGAUUUCCAAACCGAAUGGAACCCUGUAGGCAGUUGGUCUGAGCCGUGCAUCGAUCUUCUGUACACCUUGUCCCGGUGCUCCAGACUAAACUAUUCAGCCGAGCGAACCUAUUGUUGAUAUUGAACUAUCUGCCCGGACCUGGAUCCGUUUGCCCUUCUUCCUCCGACCUGGCUACCUAACCAACCAACUACCAGUAGUACAUCUGAAUUCAUUUGUCCUUCCUACCUGACAACUACCAGUACUAGUACUUACAUAAUAAAUUAUGGUUGAUUACAAGUACAUUGGUACAAAAGAUAAAGAAAGUUUGGAAAAGUUCAGUAUGUUUAUGUAGAGGACACGAAACCAUAAGAGUUUAAGAAGGCAGAUGGGAUUUGUCUAUGGAACAUAUCUGGGGAAGCAAACUAGUGUACUAGAAAACACAUGACAUAUUGGGUGCCUGCUGUAUCAUUUCUGCGGUAGCUGUGAAACUAAAACUGAAUCUUCAACUGUAAACUGAAUGUUAAACUCGUUGAUGUACUUCUACGAUGAGAAGCUCCGGUUCAGGGACGUCAUGGAUAUGGACAAGUUGAGGUACCGGUACGAGGAUGUGGAUGAAUGUCAUACCGAAACCUUCGAUCGCGCUUAGGUUAACCAAACGCGAACUCAGGAGGGAGAAGGAACAAGAUAGUAAUAUGUUGGAAAUGCCGUCCCAGGCCCAGCAUCUCCAACACAUUGGUCAUGUCCUCGACUCUCGAGUAACAAUUCGCGUGGUUCGGCCGAGGGCGGUCAGGACCCGAAAGGAGAAAGACCAAUUUGAAGAGAUAUUGGUGGUGGAAGGGAUUGUCGUGAAGGCCGAAGAGUUUGUGAACUUUGACGUGUACAUCAACGUGGUGAACAGGACGAUAAUGAGCGCCAAGUACCGGGAGUUUGCAGGGACGUUCACCGAUAUCCCGAUGGGGGUAUAGUUCGGUAAGAAGAAGACGUUGGAGCUCGGGAUUUCAGAGGUGUUGGAGGAUUUGGAGGCGGAUCGAGACAUAUCUAUAUGGGUGACAUUGAUGCCAAGGACACAGUAGUAACAAGGUUACAUUUGAUCGGCUAAGCAUCAAGCACAACAAGAAAUGAGUCUGAGAAAAAAACCAGAGGAUAAACUGUUUGAUGUCUUUAAUUGCAAGGAAUAAUUGAAUAUCUUUAGAAUGAAAUAUUAAUAUGCUCUAGGAGCUGAUGAAAUUAUCUAUCGUUCUCAAAUUGAUCCUAUGCUUUGUGCUCAUAUGGUUUCGAAACAGUCAAAGAAACCAAAAUGGAGUCGAUUGAUAAUCACGGUUUUGAAACAGUCAAAGAAACCGUUUUCUGUUAAGAGAUCAAAGCUUUGAUUUAGAGACCUUCAAGGAUCAGAAAGGGCGAUUCAGAACUGACAUCAUCAAAUCUGCAGAGCAUGCAAAAGGGCAGGAUUAUUCAAUUUACUGUGUCAUUUUGGUUUGUCAAAGGGAUGGUUUAUAGCUUUUAAGUUAUGGAUGCUUCAUCUUUCUUUGGUGUUCUGGAUUCCUUGAUUGUUUAUUAUAACAUUUCAACAGAAUCUGGAAUAACAACAUGAGAAAAAAAGCAAACACGUAGGAUCAAGGAGAUGACAAAGUUAGAGAUGGAGAAGGAGAAGAAGAAGAAGAUACAACUAAUCAGAAGAAGAGAACGAAGUCCUGAAGCUAGUAGUAUCUACCCAUCUUCAUUUUCUGUCCAUGGUCUCGCAGUUUACUCCUCCACCAUCACAUCAACUGAGGUUGUAGAUGGUGUUGGCUUAGACUUGCUUUUCUUUUUACCUGUCGAUUAGCAAGUAAAUGUCAGUCUUGAGUUUUGUAUUAGCGAUGGCUUCAGCCUGCAUUAUUACACCUCUAUUACAGCCGGACUAAGAAAUAAAUUGGAAUCUGACCUUUUAUACGGUCUAACUGCUUCAACUUGAGUCCCCUUUUUACGUUAAACAACUUGGUGGAAAUUUUACUGCUAUCUUUAGAUGAGCCUUCACCUGCAAAAGACCAUGUACCAAACUGCAUAUUAAAUCAAGCAAGCGAUAUCAAAGCCAGACUCCUAGGACAAUCCAUUUGAGUUUAUUGGGAAACACCUACGAUCAUGAUUCUUGUUGCCAAACCUAACCUAACCAUAGUCAAAAUCUCAACCUAACUAAGCAGCGUUCUUAAUGUCAUCAACAAACAGAUUAUGGAAGAGAAAAGAGGGCUAAGCAUCAAAAACUAACAAAACCAGCAGCACUCUCACUCUCCCAGUCGUGGACAAAUCAAGUCUUUAUCACAAACCAACAACUAUGGCAGUUUGGACAGAAGUUGAUCCAAGUUAGUAUGACUUGUUCUAAACAUGUCACGAGAAUCCAAAAUCCUAUCCAAAGCGGAUGCUUAGUCCAAUUGGCUGGAUUUCUGAAUGGGGGCAGUCACUCAAAGGCUGUAACACCAAGUAAAGCACUUGAAAAGAAGUGAUUCAAGAGAAGACAACAAUAAAUACCAUCUGCAACCGCCAUCUCUACAUCUUCCAUGGUGACAAGUCCUUUUUCUACAGCUUCUUUCUGGUCCUGUAUUGUAUGUAGUAAUUAACCGCAGCCAAAAUGAAUAUUCACCUAUAAAAACCCUUUGCUUCUGCAUUAGGGAAGGACAAAAGGAACAACAUACUUACUCUGCGCCAUUUGUUCAACAGCUUGCGCUUGCGUUUACCAGAGACGGAUUGAUUCUGCUGUUUAGCCUUCAAUUUAGCGGUGAGGGGAUCUCCGUGAGCGAUUCUCUUUUUAUCUGCUAUCGCUGCCCUCUUCCUGAUUGAACUUCGCCAUUGUUCUCUAUCUUUCUUUCUCCGUUUCUCUCAGAUAAUCAUAAAACCCUAAGCGAACACAUUUUUUGGGCUUACGUAUGUAUUAUAUGUAUGUGACCAAUCCCAAUUUGGGCCUGGUUUUCAAAAAUAUUUGGGCCUCUCCAAUCAAGAAUGUUUCGUCCAAAAUAAAUAAAUUUUGAGAAUCCAACCAUAGGUUUAACCCUUACUUUCCCGAAUUGCUAUUCGCCUUUCUAAAUUAUCGACGAUGAAUGUUGGGAUCGACGGAUGAUCGUUGGGAACUCGAAUAACAAUGCUGAUAGACGGAUGAUAGUGAAUGAUAUAUUCAGAUAAUAGAAUUUAGAAUUUGUGUGCUCGAUAAAAAAAUAAUUCUGUCAUUUAUAAUAAUUAGCGUGUUUUAAAAAAAAUGGUAAGACGGUGAAUGACACGCCCCUUACCAAUAAUUUUGAAAAUGUACCAUGCUCUAGGAGCUCAUGAUUUGUGCUCAUGUGGUUUUGAAAACAGUAAAAGAAACCGAAAUGCAGUUGAUCCAUAUAUAAUCAUACUUCAGUUCUGCGUGUGAAAAUUUAUUAACCUUCUGGCCAGUGUUAACAGAUGGCAUUAGUUUCUCUACAAAAUACCAGUAACAGAAACAACUACACAUACUGGUUCAGAUACUCAUCAACACUAGUAUACUUAACAUCAGGGUAAAUUUCCGAUGCCUCCACACCGAACGAAUCCUCUAUCUCGAAGCUUGUCUGGCAUCCCUUCACCAGAAUAGAAUGGUUCAGCGCCAGCAUCACAUCUCCUGCAAACCCACAACACACACAUUUAGGACCUCCAACAACAAAAAUUGAUCUAGCUGUCUUUAUAUAUUAAAGCUACCUCUAGUGUGCUUCAGAAUCUCUUCUUCAGGAACAUACACCCUUUCCAGUUUCUUCCCGAUCUUCCUCUCCCACAGAGACGCCAGAUCGUUGAACGAGUAUAUGUUGUUCGGAGGCCUAAUGUACACAAGCUUGUUUAACGUCCGUGGAUCGUCCACUGCUCGAAUCGUAUACGUCCCGAUAUCAUCCUCCCUGUUGAAAACCGCUGUUUUUUCGUAUCGAAGAAAAAACAUCAUCAGCACAAUUGUUCUUCAGCUUAAUGAUAAACUGAAUGAAAUAGUUUCAAACAUUCCAUCUAACCUUUGGCAUUGCCGUCUCCCAAGAUGAUAACUUUAUCCCUGGGAGGGACAUCACCAGAAGGCUGAGCCAAAUUGCUGAGGAAGUAACCAGCAAAGCAGUUGCAGGAGACAUAUGUGAAUGGGAUCCCUUCAGCUUCGACAGCUCGACGAAUCUGAACCUUGACAUUGUAUGCCGAUUGCGCUGGCUCCACUGCCACCACUCGAUCCACGUCGUUCCCAAACUCCGACGGGAAGAACCUCUGGUCAGUAAGAAACAUGGAAUCAAUCAGACAACGAACUAUUUCUACAUUCAAAUGAACCAAACCCUAGUAGCAAUUCUAGAUUCGGGGAGUUUGUGUUUACCUUGACGUUUCCAGCUUCCUUAAUAGCGGCUAUGAUUUUCACCUGCUCAGUCAGCAUCCCAUGCCCGACUGUUGAAAUCACCACAUCAACUUUCUUCAUUGCGUCCACCAAGCUUCCAUGAUCAUUCAAAUCCCCCUGUACAAGUUCCGUUCAGAUUAGAAAUGGAGCGGAAAUUUUAAAUCUGAAAAAACAAAACACCUACGAUUAGGAAAUUGACGCCCAAGUUCUUCAAGCUGCUGACGAGCUUGGAUCUUCUGGGAGCUGAGAGAGUCGAUUUCCUGACAAGGGCGUAAGUCGGGUGGCCGGCUUUGGCGCUGGCUUCCACGAUGAAUUUGCCGAUGUAACCAGUUCCUCCGAUGAACAGGAUCUUGCUCUUGGUGGCGGAAGCCAUUGGUGAAAGGAAUCGAUGAAUCUUCUUCUUUGUGGAGAAUUGGGGCUGGGAGGUGAUGAUGGAUUUAUUCCUAAGGUUGACUGAUGAGCUUAUAUAGUUGAAAUGUGGGAAAGAAUAUAGUAAAGGUGGUGAUUUUGGACGACGACGACGAACGAGAAAAGAAGAUUCCGGCGGCUGUUGGCAAUGGAGGGAAAUGAGAUUGGUUGCCAUUGUUGACCAUCGUAAGCAAACAACCCCACUGGUUCCGAACCCGCGGUUUGUUGUUAAAGCCGGUUUGGUUUGAUUUGGCUUGACACUUUGGGUCAUGAGCGGUUAGGAGAUUCGAACUCGAAAUUUUCCGUUCGUGAAAACUAGGGAUAAGACUAGUUUUCAAAACUCAUCUCCGUGCACAUAAUGUCUCGAAUACCCAAGCACAAUCGGUUAAUGCAUCCCUAGCCGAAAUGAACGGCUAUAAUCAGGUAAUGCCCCUCGAGAGUCGGGUAAUAUGAAAGAGAAUGUCCAACCAAAACCCUAAAUCAAAAUCGGUUUCUUUCCUUAACCACAAAAGUCCAAUUUCACUAACCACAAACACAUCGAAGCACAACGCAAUUCACCAUUAUGACCAUAUAUGGAACCCAACACAUCCCUGUAAAUCUUUCGAACUUGGAAAUUUUCAUUUCGAAAAGUUACCACUAACCACUGGAAUUCCGCGUCAUGAAAAUCGGUGAAUCAAACCAAGGAGGACAAGUACUCAGCAAUGGUAGUAUACUCAACAUCUGGAUACAGCUUCGAGCCUUCGACUCCAGUAGCAGGAUCAAUCUCAUAGUAGGUAUGAUCUCCUCUCACAAACACCGAGUAUAUGAACACCAGCCCCAUAUUCCCAGGAUACGAAAUCUCUGCACCAGUCCAAAAAACAAACCAAAUUCAACAAAACAAGCAGAUAAACCAGCAAAGGAAUCAAAAUCAACUACCCAGUAAGUAAACCACCAUUGAUUCUCUUCAACAUCUGUUCCUCCGAAACGUAGCAUCUCUCCACAUUCAUCCCAAUCAGCCCUUCCCAUAGCGUCACAAUCUCGUUCAUCGAACACACGUUCCCCGGAGGUCUCAAGUACAGAAUCUUGUUCAGCGUGGAAGGAUCGUCCACUGCUCUCAUCGUGAAGGCAGCUACAUCUCGUUCCUUCACAAACACACCUGGAAACCAAGGCAGACUCGUUGUUCGAUAUCGUUCGUCGAAUUGUUUGAAACUAGGUACAUGUACCUUUGACAUUGCCGUUUCCGAAGAUUAUGACCUUGUCUCGAGGUGGAGAUUUGAGUCCCGGCUGGACAAGGGAAGGAAGGUAGUAGCUCAUUAAGAGAUUGCAGCAGACGUAUGUGUAUGGGAUUGAUUCGGCUUCUAACAACCGUCUGAUCUCAGAUUUCCUGGAGUAGAAACCAUGAUCCAUUCCUGAUAUCUGUGAUCUGUCUGCAUCUGCUCCGAACUCAGACGGGAUGAACCUCUGGAAAAUGAUGAUCAUCAUGAAUGAAACCUAUGUUAACAUUGACAGUAGAUUGAACACAAAUGAUACACAAUCGGCAAUGGAAUGUGGCAUUUUAAAAAAUUCCAUCAAAGCAAUCACUUCAAUUUCACUAAAAUCAGUUAGCAAGGAAGAAAGCAUUUUUGAUAAUCACAAUCAAUAGUUACCUUUAUCCGGCUUCCUGCUUGUUUGAUGACUUUGAUAAGCAGCUUCUGAUCGUGAGCUUGUUUCGACGGAAUCGAACAGAUUACAACGUCAACUCGAUUCACUGCCUCCACAAGGCUACUCUCGUCUUGCAAUGAACCCUAAAAAGAAGAGCAGCAGCAGAAGAAGAAGAAGAAUCAAGAACAACGAAAAAUUCCCCUAGCAGGAAAAGCAUUAUCCCAAUUGAAUAAUACCUUAAUGACGGAGGCGCCGGCAUUGGUGAGGGAUUGGAGCUUGUGAGCUUUGAUUGGGUCGUGGAAAGCCGAUUCUCUGACGAGGAGGAGAGUUGGGUGAGAGGAUUUGAGGCUGGAUUCUGCUAAGUGGUAACCCAAAUUGCCUGUUGAGCCGAUUACCAACACUCUGCUCUUCUCCUUCUCCAUUGCAGUCAGCUGGUUUGAUCAAUUGGGUUACAGUCUAAAUUGCUGCCAGUGCCAUGCACAAUCCAGUUGAAGGUUUUGCCUUUCCAGUGUUCUGUGAUGGUUUUCGUACAGUUAAUUUCAUUCCGUAGCACCAACUUUGGCCAAAAUGCAAAAAGUUACCAUGAAGUUUCAAAAGUAACAAAAUAAUAUUGUGUGUACAAAUUCAAACUUAAUAAUGUGGAAAAUGUUAUAUAUGGUGAGGACAUUAUUUUUGUAUUCGUAAGGAAGGAGAACACUAAUAUCAUCAAAAAAAAUAUACAAAUUCGUACUUAUUUAUUAUUCUAUACGAGAUAAAAAUAGAAUAUUAAGGAAAGUUAAUGGAGAUGAAGAUCUACAGUUUCAAUGCCUAACUAUAGGAAUGCCAAUCUAAACUCAACACUCUUAAGAUAAUAAAUACAUUCGAAUAUGGUUAAUGGCUAUAUAUGAGCCGAUAGGUAUAACCACUCUUUGUGCUUCAUACUUAAGAUAUUGAACUACCCGCUCUUAUCAGGGUCCAUCUGUUAUUCCUACUUAAUUAAAAAUAAAAACUAAAUAAAUAUUAUUUUUUAAUUAAAAUAUAUCAAAAUUUUCGAUCAAUAUAAAAUAGGUUUAUUAAAACCUUAAAACUCCGAUAUUUGAUUGGGAAUUCAUUUUACAAUGAAAAACAUGAUUCGUAUGGUUAUAGUAUUAUAGGAUAUUGGGUUCCCAUUGAAAGGAGGCGGAUUCUCGAGUUUUACUUGGAAUGACACUCGCCACCCUCAUCUUUGCAUAUUAUUACAAAAUUGCUACAAUAAAAUCCAAACCUACCCAACAAAGUAAGUAUCACCAACGCGGCCAUUGAUCCAAAAGGUGCCUUUGAGAGAUGUAACCAAUAGAUUUUAGUCAUUACAUCUGGUUAUUUUUUUGACCAAGUUUCAUCUACCGAUUAAAAUAAAUCAAACGAAUUAAUUUGAAUAAAUAUAAUUUUUUAAUAAAAAAUUACAUAAGCGGAAAUCAAUUUUUCGGGAAAUAAUUUUCUCUCUUUCUUUUAGUCAUUUUUUAACUUUGAUANNNNUUAACUUUGAUAUCACCGUUAUGUUUAUCGUACAAGCAUGUUUAGUAAGUAAUACGAUCAUUUUAUAGGCUUGUUACGCCGUUGCUACGUUAACCUUACGAGUAGUUGAAUUCAUUAUCGUUAUGUCCAGUUUACCACUCUUUUAUGUCGGUGAUAUAUACACUUUAUGAGUCUGUUAUGUGUUUUUAUUAUGGCUUUUAAAUAAGUUCAUUAUAUAGAAUUUAUAAGUAAAUUAUUAUAUUCACGUUAUCGUUAUUAAAUCAUUAUUAUAUCAUUGUCACACCCAUUUUACGAGUAAUUAUGUUAUCCAUGUCGACUUUAAUAAGUUUUUCCUAUCUAUUUUCUCUUUUAAAGAAAAGUUGAAAAAAAAACUUNNNNNNNNNNNNNNNNNNNNNNNNNNNNNNNNNNNNNNNNNNNNNNNNNNNNNNNNNNNNNNNNNNNNNNNNNNNNNNNNNNNNNNNNNNNNNNNNNNNNNNNNNNNNNNNNNNNNNNNNNNNNNNNNNNNNNNNNNNNNNNNNNNNNNNNNNNNNNNNNNNNNNNNNNNNNNNNNNNNNNNNNNNNNNNNNNNNNNNNNNNNNNNNNNNNNNNNNNNNNNNNNNNNNNNNNNNNNNNNNNNNNNNNNNNCUCAGCCAGUCAUCCUACCAACCGCACGGCACAAUCUUUUGUCUAACAACCACAUGCCAACCGUCCAUCCCUUCUCUAUUGUGAAUGUUUAAAUCAAAUUUUUUUUUUAAAGUGACGUGUGGACUCAGAAACUUUCAUUCAAGUUUCUACUGAAUUUAAUUGUUUAUAUUUAAUGGACUAUUUAUUUUUAGAAACAUGUUUUUAUCGUACUAAUAUAUUAAUUAUAAAUAUUGAAAUAAAUAUUCUUUAAAGAACUUUGAAAAUAUAAGCAAAUUUGUUACAAUCUCCUCGCACAAAACGAAUCCUAAUGUUUCGAAACUAAAAUCUUCCGACAUCGUCCAAUAAUAUCUCCAAACUUCAACCUAUCCUACACCACACUCGCAUUAAACGGCACCACCUGCAAAUCUAACUCCAAAAUGACGUUGUCUAAGUUGAGUUUAACACACCACCAAAAACCAUUCAUCCAACAACGUUAGGGCCUCAGUCUCCUUACUACUAUAACCUCGUUCCCGUUUCAUUUGGUAAUGUAUCGCCGUACCCAUCUCAUCACGCAAGCACGUUCCUGGAUUCCUGCGCCCAUUUCUCCCUGCUCUGGAAACAGUUGUGAAUGAAACCUUUACCUAUAUAGUUGGGGGGUUUCUUGGUUGUAUUAAAUUAUAAUUUAUUCCAUCUUAAAAUGGGUUGGUUCAUGUAAAUACUAAUGAUAAAUUUAUAUUGGUAUAACCUCAAAUAAAUUUAUCAAUUAAUACCAAGUUCUUUUCGAAAAAAAAGCUAAUACAAACCUCAACGAUCAUUUCAUAUUCCAAAUUUGAAGAUUGUAAUUAAAUUCUCACUUCCUUUAUUAUUCCACCAUCCAAAUAGUCGAUUCAUAUGUCUAGUACCGAUGCUCAAAGGUGACAAGUCUACAUUUACGACCACCGGUACCUCCAUUUUCAGUAUUGUCAACAUAUGUGUAUAACAUUCUCGACCAUAACCACAAAAUAAUUACGCAACUCUAUAGAUUGUCGAUACCGUACUAAACUUCGAAUCGGCCAACACCGGUCAAACCAUUUUGGCAUGUUACGGUCCACAACUAUUUCGCACCAUCUCUGGCCACCUUAUCUCUGUCUUCUUACUCACCACACACACGACUCUUCCAGCUCCUUCCUCCUCCGAAGAAAAAACCCAAUAUAGUAAUAUAUAUACACCAAAGCUCUUUGAAGAACAGAGCUUCACCCAGAUCUAAAAAUCCCCUGCUCCAAUGGAUCCUGGAAAAUGGAUCCUCCCACUCACCAUCUCCACCAUUCUCGCCGUCACCCUCUUCAUCUUCUCCUCCCCUCAACUCGCCACUGAACUCGUCGGGUAACUCAAAAUACUCUUCAUAUCCCACACUCUGUUUUCUUAUUCAGAUCUGUGUUUAGUUUCUGCUCUAAUUUGUACUAACUUCUCUCUUUCUCUGUCCACAGGAAGCUAAACGGCGUCGUACCAGACGUUUUCUUAGGGUGGUCAACGCCGGUGAACAAUCUGCAGAAGGGCAAACUCCUCCCAGUCCAAGUCAACUUAUCAGCCUGCCUCCCGACAUUCGGCCGACCGGGGAAGCCAGUCUACUGCUGCCCGCCGCGAAACAUCCUCGACGACCCAAUCAUUGACUUCCAGUUCCCCGACCCGGCGACCAACCCGGUCCGGGUCCGCCGCUCGGCGAACCGGCUGGAUGAGGAGUCCAUUGCCAAAUACGAGAAGGCGGUCGCGAUGAUGAGAUCUCUACCUUACUCCGACCCGAGGAGCUACACGCGCCAGGCGAACUUACACUGUCAGUACUGCACCGGAUCUUUCCUCCAGCAGCACUCCACGCUUCCGGUUCGGGUACACAAGACGUGGAUCUUCUUCCCCUGGCAUCGAAUGCUCUUGUAUUUCCACGAGCGGAUCUUGGGGAGCUUGAUCGGAGACGAUACAUUCGCGAUUCCGUUCUGGCCAUGGGAUCUGCCGGAAGGGAUGAUGCUGCCGGAGUUUUACCUCAACGGGUCGUUCAAGAACGAGCAGCGUGACCCGACCCAUUACCCCCCGGCGGUGGCGGAUCUGGAUUUCCAGCUGGCGGAAGGCGGGUCGACGCCGGAGGAACAGGUGGAGUUGAAUCUGGCUCUGAUGUAUAACCAGAUGGUCUCUGGCGCUAAGACAGCGGAGCUAUUCAUGGGGUGUGCUUACAAGACUGGCGAAGGUGGUGACUGUUUCGGACCCGGGACAAUGGAGCGGGCCCCGCAUAACACGAUUCAUAAGUGGGUCGGGUCGGCUUUCCAUACUGGGAGGGAGGACAUGGGGGUCUUUUACUCGGCAGCUCGCGACCCGAGUUUCUACGCUCACCACUCGAAUAUCGACCGGUUGUGGGAGGUUUGGAGGGCGACUCACCCUGAGAUGAACGACCCGGAGUUCCUCGACUCGUCGAUGUACUUCUACGACGAGAAGCUCCAGUUGAACCGGAUCCGGUUCAGGGAUGUCAUGGACAUGGACAAAUUGAGGUACCGGUAUGAUGACGUGGUCAAUACGUGGAUGAAUGCGAGGCCGAAGCCCUCGGUCGAGCCUAGGUUAGCCAAGCGCGAGCUAAGGAGGAGGGAGAUGGAACAAGAGAACGUGUUGGAGAUGCCGUCAGAGCAUUUCCAACCAACCGGUCGGUCACUCGACUCCCAAGUCACGAUCCGGGUGGUUCGGCCUAGAGCAGUCAGGACUCGAAAGGAUAAAGUUGAAUUUGAGGAGAUAUUGGUGGUGGAAGGGAUUGACGUGAAGGCGGAGGAGUUUGUUAAGUUCGACGUCUACAUCAACGUUGUCAACGCGACGAUAAUGAGCCCCAAGUAUCGGGAGUUUGCGGGGACGUUUACCGAUAUUCCGAUGGGUGUAUCGUUCGGAAAGAAGACGACGUUGGAGCUUGGGAUUUCGGAAGUAUUAGAGGAUUUGGAGGCGGAUCGAGACCGAUUUAUAUGGGCGACAUUGAUGCCGAGGACGGAAAGUUGUGACAAAGUUACGGUUGAUGGGUUAAGCAUCAAGCACAAGAAGAAAUGAAGGAGAGUACUAGUAUAGGUAAAAAUAAUUUUGAAGAAAUUUUAUUGUAUGAUGAUGUUGCAUUAAUUCUGUGUGUAUGGCAUUGAACAUUGUUAGAAUUAAAAAUAUGAAUGUACCAUGCUCUAAUAAAAAUAUUAGUGUUGCUGGCAACUAUAAUGGAGCCUUGCAAGUGGUACGGUCCAUCACCAUGUUUAUACACCAUUAUUUCGACUUGUCGGUGGCUGGCAACUCUUUGAAAACUACAUUUUGAUACCCUUUUAUACCCUUUUCAGUGAAAACUAAAAAUCAUCGUCCAAUUGCUCCUCGCCUCUACUCGUCGAAACAAAGAGUCUACAAUCUUCAUUUUAGUUGCACCUCAUAAAUACUACAUUACGUGAAAUAUUUUAUAUACUUGUACCCUUCCUAUGAAAUAUGAGCAUUAGAUUAAUAUUAUAAAUAGAAUAUUUGAGCUAAUCAGGAUGAGUCAUGGCUGUCUUGAUGGGACAUGAAAACACAUGGUGACAUGAUUUACAAUAAAUAUAUUAUGCAUAAAAUCAAGACAUAUUGGAAAGUGUAAAUCAUGUCACAUGUGGCAAGUGGUUUUUUUCUUAGAGAGGACCAAAAUAUGACGGGGAGGCCGAAACAACUCAAAACGUUCGACUUGGGAAGAAAUCGUCACUGUUUAGUAUUUUGAGUAUAACUCAUCGCUCGGAAGUCCGAUUGAUGCAUGGUCAGCGGUUCAAUACAUUGCUAGCUUUAGAGGAUUCAAAUUUGAACAACCUUCAUUCCAUAUUUGAAACUAAAUCUCUUUCAAUUAUUUUCUUUUGAUUUACAUUCUUAAUUUAUAAUCGGAUACUUCAACAAUCAAUAAAAUAAUCACUUAAUGUUACUUAGUUUAGUUAACUUAACCAAUUUGAAUAAUAAUGUUAAAAAACAUCUUAUGAAAAUACGAUUCCAUUAAAAUUUAUUCUAAUAAAUAUUUGAUUAGCGGGAUAAAAUCCGCACAACCACAAUUUCUCCGAACCAAAUAAAACCCAACUUGAUUGUUAAUGCAAGUUGGUGAUGCAUGCGUCGAUUUGAAUAAUAAAUUCUCUUAAAAGAAGAAAAACGAAUAUUCACGUGGUACUGCCCGGUUUGAUCAAGUGGUUGGAUUUAUUUAUGUGUGAUUCUUCGUCCCCAAUACUAUAUAUAAUAAAAUCCGAUACAUUGAUAUAUAUUCUAGCUCUAGCUGUCGUGAAAAUGACUACUUUGAUUGGGUGUACAUUUUUGUUUGUUUACGGUGAUAAUAAAUCUCUAAUACUUUAUAAUAAAGAGGACAUCCAGCUUGAGGAGCAUGCCCGAACGAGCCAACCUAACAAGUAACAACCCAGUCGGCUCAAGCGACACGAUCCGUCCAAGGAUGCCGAAACAGGACCAAGGUCGAUCCUUCGUCGGCCUCUUAAGUGCCGAGGCGAUGGGCAAGACAGACCGGAAGGGUUUUGAUUGAACCUUCAAUGGAGGACAAAACAAACCUAGAGGAUAGCGUAUGUGAGCUUCGGCAACAAUGGUGGAGGAUAGCGUGUACAUUCAUCAUUAUACUCUCUUUCAAUCACUCGAAUUAUUUCGAAACUUUUUUUACUUAACAGUCGUCCAGAGGCCCGGGAUGCUUUUCCUUGAGCCCUUCCUCAAAGCCAAGGCCCAAGGCAACCUCGCUGCCUAGUAAGCCCUUUAUUCUUUGUUUUCACAUUAACAUUAUUGGGCCAGGGCCCAGGCUUCUAAUUAACAUGUUUGGGUGAAGAGGAGUAAUGGGUCAGGUGAUCAGCUUGUUGUAAAUUCAUGUCAUUCACAAACAAAUAACAAGUAAUAUCACUUUGGUUUAAUUUUUAUUUUCUUUCAGGUCAUUGAGGGAGUUCCAUGAGUCCCAGCUUUGAAAACUUUGGACCCAAUUCUGAAGAACUUAGGCUUGGCCCUAAUCCAACUCUUCCCGCCAAUCAUUUCUUUACUCAGAAAAGGCGAAACCUCAUCGAUUGCGAGCUUCUUCGACCAAGCUACCCUCUUCGAUCUAUUAGCUCCAGGUCCGUAAUUCUUGUGCUCUCCGUAGAACACAGUCCUACAUAUUAAUGCACACACCGACAACAUAAUCAAAAGAAAAUAUUGAUUGAAAUAGAUAGAAUAAUUAAAUACGCGGGAUUUUAUACCUUUGUUUCGAUUUGUCUCCCCAAUCACUCCAACCGAUUGGCAAGACAGCAGAGGUUAAGUAAGAGUAGGCAUAAACCACCCUGGAAUAAGAACCCCAUGCCCUUCCUAGAAGUGUUGCUCCAACCCCGGUUACCUUGCAUCGCAAGAAAACAUACCCGGUUCGAUCCGACUCCGAGCCCCUAUCUUGGGCGGUUAUCGAGCCGUUGCCUUUCGAAAGUGAAUGGAUAUGACACUUCUGCAAAUCAUACAAUUAUGGACCAUGCACAUAAUUAGUAAUAGGUGUUCAAACUUAUUGAUCGGAAUUUCUCAUUCUCUACUGUGAAACAGAGAUGUAACAAGCAAAGAGAUAUCGCUCGCCUCGAAGAGGGAGGAAGCGUCUCCGCAGAUGAAAUCGGUGGCUCCUUCGAUGUAACAGUUUCGAUAGUAAUGCGAUCCAGUGUCGUCGAGAAGCGUAUCCUGGUACGACAACAUCUUGCAAUCGAAGAAUGCAGCUCUGUCUCCCGAUACCCUCAACGCCACAGCUUUGCCUCCUCUCCCGAACGUGUUCUACACCAUGCAUAUGCACUAACAAACAUUGAACAAAUUCGAACUUUGGGAUCAACAUACGUUCGUAAUUACGUUACCUGGAUAGUAAGGUAUCGAGCUACAAAGUACGGAGCCAGAACAGACAGAGUGGCAGACUCGAAUAUAUCCCCCUUCUCGUGCCACGUAACGACAGUGUCGUUCGCAGCUGGCUUGGUACCACCUAGGGUGAUGAAAGGCUUGUCCUUCGGCACUAUGACUUUCUCGACGUAGACUCCUGGCUUGACCCAGAUGAAGACCAGCUCGGAGUUGUUAGAAGGAACCGAGUCGAUUGCUUCCUGGAUCGUCUCGAAAUCUCCUCUCCCAGCGGCGGAAUUGUCCACCCUUAUCAGAUUGGCCACUGACCAGUCCUUUGGAGGAGUAGGUGAAGCAUCAGAAGCUAGGGUAGUUUGGAAUUGGAGUAAUAGUAGUGCUAGGAUAAUGGUUGUUGCUAGACGGUGGAUCAUCAUCAUGUGGAGCUUUGGAUAAUGGUGGACUGGAGUACAAUUGCAGCUAUAGAAUCAGACAUUCUUAUUGUUCAGUAUUUCCGAAAAGGCUUGGGACUCACGCCAACGCGUCCAAGAAAUCUGCAGAAAUGAAGGGAUCAAUUGUUUUCCUCUUUGUCUGCACAAAUUCAACGUAUGAUCAUACGCCUCAUUUCUGGGAUUAGACUUUAGGCCAAAAAUUAAUCUUAUACUACAUUGGAAGUAUUGGCUUUUAUCAAGUGGAUUAACUAACUUGAUCAGUUUAAAAUUUUGCCCGUUUUUUGGGCGUAUUGAAAUGGAGCCGACCGCCAUCCACUUGACGGCCCCCUAUCGACGAACAUUAUCAUCCUAUCGACAACCUCGAUCAUUGUCAUCAUGCCACUGUUAUCUUGUUCCAAUCUCGUCAACCACCGCCAUACCGUCCAUCAAAAUACACCGCUUUUGAGACUCUAGCAUGAUGAUUUCCGUGUUUGAAGAGAAAAUGCAGUCAACACCAUGAUCACAAUCACCAAUGAUUACAGAAUGUGCGUGGUAACUCCCAUGACAGUUGCCUCCUCUAGUAGCAAUCAUCCAUGACAGUCGCCUCCGGCCUCCUAUAAAUACAAAAGAACCGACCAAUGGAACAAUAUGAUGAACAUAAAAAAUUAUACAAAGCAUACACUCUUGCUCAACUUACCUUUCUCUUCAAUUUCAUUUUUCAGUAGCCAUAGACAUAGUUUAUUUUUUAAUUUGGAGCCUUUUCAGAAUUUCUACAGGAGUAAUGGUAGAUAGAAUAAAUACUUAUCAUAUACAUCAAACCAACGGUGUAAACAAUGUAAUUAAUCUAUUUUCACAAAAUCAAAACUAAUUUAUUGUGUUCAAAGACAAAGAGUUUUUUUAUUUUUGCGACCAAAAGCAAUUUCAAAUUUUAAUAAUUUUCAAUUUAUAUACAUAAUUUAUCGAAAUUGUACAUAUAAAAACUAUCAUUUGAAGGUGCAAAUGAUAUCUGACCUUAUAGCUGUUUGAAAACAAAGAUCAAAUUUGGGUCUGCCACGUUGUCUUCCAUGUUCUUUUCAACGACAAGAAAAAGUUAAUAUAGUAAUAAUGAAAUUAAAGAAAGAGGAGUUGAGGACUUAAAAUCAAGGAGAAAAAAGUUUCAGGAAUUCCAAAAAAAAUUUAUUGAUAAUUUUGGUAUUUUAUAAAUAUAUAUAUGUUAUUUUUCCAAAUUUCUAAAACUCAAAACUGAAAAUCUAAUAUUUUAGACUCUAAAUUUAAAAAUCCAAAUUCAAAAUUUAAAAUUUAAAAAAUUAUAAUACUUUCUACAGAUUAUUAGAUCGGUAAAGUGGUCAAAUCCUUAAAAUUUAAUUAUUCAAAACCAUCCUAAACAUCAAAAGCACUGUCCUGAGGCCCCACCAGAGCAAUCAAAGAGCGCAAUUAGCGGAGCAUGAAGCUCCUAAUCGAACUUUGUCGUUUAGCGACGGAAACACUUAUAGCAAAAGGCCACGAACUCUCUGCCUUCUCCGGCGCCCUUUCAAAUUAAAAUCCACUCCCCCCAGUCAGUCACCACCACCGCCACUCAUUUUCUUCACCGUGACGCCGCAGAUGGAGUGGGAUUCCACCGCCGUUGGUUCUAAUCACAAACGCCACCACGAAAGCUGCAACAACAAUAAUAAUGGAGACCCGAAUACCGCCAACAGCAGUAGUAGCCCGAAUGAUCUGCUGUACGUGAAGGUAAUGACAGAUGAGCAGCUUGAGACUCUCCGGAAGCAGAUCGCCGUCUACUCCACCAUCUGCGAACAGCUCGUCGAGAUGCACAAAACCCUGUCCUCCUCCCACCAAGAUUUUGCCGCCGCAGGUGUGUACUGUUCCCCUGUUUUUCCACUGCUCUGAAUUCGAAUUAGAGAUCUAGUCGACAUUAAUUUCGUCGGGGGCAGUUACUGAUCUAGGUAGAAUUGUCCAAUGAGUGGGUUAAACCGGUUAUGGGAUGGGUAACUCGAGUUACGGGUUCAAUUGAUUGGAUUAUAGAUUAAUUUGGUACAGUACACUUAGUUUGAAGAUUUUAUAGACUUUUGGGUCAUGUAACUUUUGAAUUGUUAGCAUUUGAUCAUUUGAUCGAUAUAAGUUAUUGAUCGUAUUCGACCAGGUUGGAACUGGAUCGAGUCGGGUUAAUUUUUGCCAGCUCUAAAUCUAGAGGAGGUUCUCCUUGUCACAAUACGGUCCAUCGUCGAGUCUAAUGCGUACAUUUAACUAAAAUAAUCAAAUUUUUCAUAUAGUAAUGAGGUUAUAAGUUUAUUGUGCCGUGAAUUGAUUGGAUUAUGUGAUUAAUUUAGUGAUAGUAUACUUAAUUUGAUGGUUUUGUGCCAGUUUUGAAUUGUUUACGAAUUUAUAUUAUUGAUUGGAAUUGGAUCGAAUCGGGAUAAUUUUUGCUAGCUCCAGAUCUACAAAAGCCUCUUUUAAAUCAGAUCGGGCGGGCUGGUUGGGAAGGGGUUAUUGACCAAUUGAACUACAAUCCCAGGAAAAUGAAAUAAAGUGGACACCAACAUACACAGAUUCAUAUGAUUUCAUUCAAAUCUCCCUUAUUUAGUAUUUAGCUAUUUCGAUUUUAGCUUCGAAUCGACGCGCUGUAACAGAGAGGGGGUAUCUAUAUGAUACCCAUAUCCGAUCAAUUUAUGAAUUUAAUACCGCAAUAAUACAUUUUACAGUCCAUUUUUCAUGUAUGUAGUUUACUAACACAAUGAAUAUAAAUAUUUUUAGUAAGUGUAUAUAAAAAUAUAGACUGUGCGCUAGUAAUAUAUAAUAUAGCAUAGCACCGUGUACUGUAUUUCAACAUGAUCGUCACCGAUGCAUUAAAUCAUUCUGCAUCCAGGGAGGUUGGGAAAUAUGUACUUGGACACGCUGAUGGGCGGAGGAGGAGGCCAGAAGCUGAGCGGCGGGCGACAGCGGUGGACGCCGACGCCCGUGCAGCUUCAAAUCCUUGAGCAGAUCUUCGAGCAAGGGAACGGGACACCGACGAAGCAGAAGAUCAAGGAGAUCACGACCCAGCUCAGCCAGCACGGCCAGAUCUCGGAGACCAACGUCUACAAUUGGUUCCAGAACCGGCGCGCCCGGUCCAAGCGUAAACAGCACCUUACGAAUCUCCCGACUUCCGCUGCCGCGGGCACGAACAAUAAUGAUAAUGCUGGUGCUACUAGUGGGGAUUUGUCGUCAGAAGUGGAGACUACUACUGCUACUGAAGUUGAUUCGCUUAACGAUCAAGACAUCAUCAUCCAGUUGUUGGCUCAGUCUCAGUAUCAGGAAAAACAAUGCUGGAAUUAGCUGCGUACAUGUAUAUGUUGUAUAGAGGGAUGUAUUUGUCAUGGUUGAUUCACUACACUCUUUUUCUCCAUUUUAAUCUUGGUUUGGUUGUGGUAUGGGAUAUCUCGAGAUAGCUUGGUAUUUUUCGAGGAUGUUGAUAUUGAGUGGGGGAGGUGGUGAGGUGGAGUUUCUUGUUUGGUAUGAGACAUUGAGUUGAUGAAAUUUGUUUGCCUAUUGAUUGUCACAUAGGGUUCUCUAAGCAAUCGUCGUGCUUUUGGUGGUGCUGUAAUCGUAAAAGUAGUGGUUUAUUUGACGGCUUGCCCUAGGUUCCGAUUGCAAGUGGUCAGGCAUCUAUAAGUAGCGUUGAGGCCGAUUUCAUGACUCGAAUAGAUAUUUAGAUUGUUUGUUCUUUUGCAACGUGUUGUUUACUAUCACAAUGUAUCCCUUCGAAGCUCCUAUCUUGCUAGAACCAAAUAGACAGGAGCUAGAAUUCUAGUGGAUUCAGUAUCUUCAUCCAAAUUUGCAGCAACCAGUUGCUGAAGAUCUUAACUGCAGAAUCAGUUUUGGGCCAAGGUUAAUGGGUUUUUAUAGGCCCAUUUCAGAAUCUAUUUUCGGCAACGGCUGAUUGGGUAUGGGAGAGGCCCAUUUCAAAUCAUGUCGCUUAGGUAAUAGCCGAAAAAGCCCAUCUCUGCUGCUAUAAAAUCCUAGGCGUCGAUCACUUUCAGAAAACUAACCCUAAUUGCAAAAUCUCCAUUGUUGUCGCAGCUUCUCUUUUCCAAUAGCAAAUCUCAGCUGUAAUAGCUGUUGUGUAUAGUUCAAUUUCCGUCUCAAUUCGUUUUCUGUUUGUUUUGUCACUGUUGUGGAGGAAGGAGGGUUGCGAUGAUGAUGAUUAUGUUAUAAUCUCGUUAAUCCGAACCAAAUCUGUGAGGAUAACAAACUAUCCAUUACCUUACUGAGCACUCUCCUUGUCCUACAGCUCCACCUCAUUUACUCUGGUUUCGUUCUUAUGUUUUAAUGGUGUUCAUUUUUUAAUCAAUCUGAUCUUGUCCCCUGGAUGGUACAAAAAAGAUUUCAACUGUCUCCAGUAAAUGCUGAAUCUUUCUGUUUCUUUGACUGGUUUCAUAGAUUGUUGAUACAUUCUAAGUUUGGCAGAUCAACUUUGAUGAUUAGUUCAUGGAUUGAUGGACUGAGAAUCAUAGAAUUGUGGUUUCACUGUGGAAAACUGGAAAAAACCACACCAUAGUUUAAGCAGGGACAUUAAAGAAGAAGCAAAACUGUAAUUAACUUCCACUGAAAUCUGAUGAACAACAUGAACAUUAUAUCUGAGGCAAAAGUAUCUACAAAAGGAAAAGGCCCCUCUGGUUUGUACGGGUAACGUAUAAUAAUUGUAUCAGAUGACAUUUGGUCCGUAUAGAGUGCUGGAUCAAGAAAAACAAGAGAUUGCAACAGUGUGAAAGAUUCCAUGUGUCUGGUCAUAAAAGGGUGGUUUAGAACAGCAGCCCACGGGGAGCACAGCUCUCAGCCAAAAACUAAAGUUAGUAGUCUUUUUUCUCUGAUCUCUACUGUUUGUAAACAGUGUUACCCACCAUUGACGAAGAGGAAGGAAGAACAAACAAAUCUGAAGCGAACGAAAGUUACAGAAUGAAGCAAUGGGUUACGCAUUGAUUCAGAUUCAGAAUGCAGAGGGACCUUUAGCAAUUUGUUUCUAUUUAUUUGCAAGGUUUCUUGGCUCCUUGAACAAUUGAAGCUCUGGGAUCUAUUUGUUGAGUUUGAAUGUUAAUAUUUUUCGAAAAUCUCGAUCAAUAAAAGAGUUUAAGAAAUAGUACAUUGAUGUUUGUUGGGGUGGUUUGAUUUGAAUUUUGUACUUUCGAGUCACCAACCCACAAUCUUUUAUACUUAUGGGUUUAAUUGUUUCAUGUGACUUUUUUGUCAUGAAUAAAAAAUAACUAUGACCAAGUGAUUAUUUUGUGAUAAAUAAUAUAUUGAUUAUGAAAAUAAUUUGCGACCAACUCAUUAAUGUAUUAAAUCUCUAAAAAUAUAUAUGGNNNNNNNNNNNNNNNNNNNNNNNNNNNNNNNNNNNNNNNNNNNNNNNNNNNNNNNNNNNNNNNNNNNNNNNNNNNNNNNNNNNNNNNNNNNNNNNNNNNNNNNNNNNNNNNNNNNNNNNNNNNNNNNNNNNNNNNNNNNNNNNNNNNNNNNNNNNNNNNNNNNNNNNNNNNNNNNNNNNNNNNNNNNNCAAAUUAAGAUUUUGUUUUCGUAAGUUAAUCGAAUUACGCAUCAUUAACUCUUGAGCAAAUCAGCACUGAGCCGAUUUGAAUUGGGAAAAUCCUUAAAACCUAAGCAUAGUUCAUUUGAUAUGAUAAUUCGUUCAAGAUUAUUUUAACGGGCCGAUUGAAUUUUCAUUUUUUGUAAGCUAAUAAGGUUACGAUCAUUAUGUCUUGACCAAUUCAAAACACUGAUUGGGUUGAUUCGGUUUGAAUUGGACAUACUCAUCAAACAUAAGUGCAUAUAACAUAAUCUUACAUUCAAAGUUCUUUUAAUGGGGUCAAUUGAGGCCAAUGGCCAAUGAUUAAUCUUGAAUUAUAUUUUCUCUCCAAAUGGGCUCGGAUCAACAUAUAUACAUGAAUAUUCAUAUCCAUCAUAUAUGAGUGACUGAGUGAGAGUUUGAGUGAACAUAUAUAGAUGUGCAACCCUCUUUUAUAACUAUAUUUUUAUAUAUGAUUCAUCAUUCCAAUGUCGAUUUAACAAUCAAAAUUAUCACAAUUAUAUCAUCAUAUGUACAUGCUUAUAUAUAAUAAUAGAAUUACUGUAACAAAAUUUUAACUUACACAUAUUAGUUAACAUACUUUUACUUUUAAUCACGGGUCUAAGCUCCGCUAACAGGCUAUGGCUAAUGGUACAAAGACACGUAUUGGUAAAAGUAUACUAUUGGGCGAAAGUAUAUGAAAAUUUUUUUUGGAUCNNNNNNNNNNNNNNNNNNNNNNNNNNNNNNNNNNNNNNNNNNNNNNNNNNNNNNNNNNNNNNNNNNNNNNNNNNNNNNNNNNNNNNNNNNNNNNNNNNNNNNNNNNNNNNNNNNNNNNNNNNNNNNNNNNNNNNNNAAAACAUAUUAAAUAGGAUAGUAUACUGCUUAUUACCUAACUAUGUCUUUCUUUUAAAAUUUUUCAAAUAAACAGUGUUUUAGUUCAUUAGACUUUCGGCCAACCGGCCGGACACGAUCUAAUAUACUUUAUAUGCUUAUGACCAAUGAAGCUUAAAUCAAACAAAACAGAUCAUUAAAA